rnacentral:lncRNA from 1 species
UGCUUGGGACAAAGAUCUUGCUAAGAAGAUUUGGUGCUUUGGUCCUGAGACUACCGGCCCUAACAUGGUGGUUGAUAUGUGUAAGGGAGUUCAAUACCUGAAUGAAAUCAAGGAUUCCGUUGUUGCUGGUUUCCAAUGGGCGUCGAAAGAAGGUGCAUUGGCGGAAGAGAACAUGAGAGGCAUCUGUUUUGAAGUGUGUGAUGUGGUGGCUUCACGCUGAUGCCAUCCACAGAGGAGGUGGUCAAGUGAUUCCGACUGCUAGGAGGGUAAUCUACGCUUCUCAGCUGACUGCCAAACCAAGACUUCUUGAGCCAGUGUACCUAGUGGAGAUUCAGGCUCCGGAGCAAGCUCUUGGUGGUAUCUACAGUGUUCUUAAUCAAAAGCGUGGGCAUGUCUUUGAGGAAAUGCAGAGGCCUGGCACACCUCUUUACAACAUCAAGGCAUAUCUCCCCGUCAUCGAAUCAUUUGGGUUCUCGAGCACUUUGAGAGCUGCAACUUCUGGACAGGCAUUCCCACAGUGUGUGUUUGACCAUUGGGAAAUGAUGUCUUCAGAUCCAUUAGAAAGUGGGUCUCAAGCUGCGCAGUUGGUUGCUGAUAUCAGGAAGAGGAAGGGGUUGAAGGAGCAAAUGACCCCACUUUCCGAUUUCGAGGACAAGCUGUAGAUUGAGCUCGCAUUGUUGGUUAAUAUAUUUAAGAAUCGCCCUUAAAUCCGCAGGUUUGAGGUUCUAAUUUCCUAUGGGAAGUUUUUUGUUUUUUGAAAAGAUUGUUGUUAUGUUUGAGUAUUUUAAUUGCAAUUAUUUUUAAGAACUAUUGUUACUCCAUUUCUGUCAAAAAGAUGCGUGAUGAUGGGCAAAAUUUUGGAGUUUUCAGGAUUUUCUUUUGGUUUAUUUAUUUACCUUUCAAAGUUGGUUUAAAUCUUGAUUUAGUUCUUGAAAUCAUAAGAUGCUUUGUAUUUUGGUUCCAAAACCUUGGUUUUAAUUUUAUUUUGGUCCCUUUUUAUUUUUAUAAAUUAAUAAUACGAAGACAGUAAAGUGCCCUAACAAUUAACACUAACAUUUAUACUCAAGAGGAUAUGGCUUUGGAAUAAUAAGCUUUGAAUGCUGGAAAUGAAACAUAGUAAUGUCUACCAUUGUUAUUUUUUUUCCUUUCAAGUUUUAAGAAUUUAAUUCUACAUUUUAAAAGUAUAGAAUUCAAAUGUUAUACAAAUACAAUAAUUUGUAUGUUUUAGAAGGAUUUGAACUACAAAUAAGUUCUCUUUAGGUGACAGAUUUCAAAUUUUUUAGUCGUUGGAUUCAAAUGCUAGAAUUUUUAUUUAAAGAUUCUCAAAUAUCAAAAUCUUGAGGGUUAUCACUGGAGGGUUAUGUUUUAGGCUUAUUAUAACCCCACUUUCUUCUCUCUCUUCCUUCUAAAUCUCUCUUUAAUUCCUCCAUUUUCUAUUAUUUCAUUUAUUUUUAAAAUUUUAUUCUUUUGUUUAUCGAAUGUUUUUUCUUUUUAAUUAAUAAGAAUAUUUUUUUAAAAUUUAUUUUAUUUACGAAAUUAAUUUUAAUUAAAUUUGUUUACGCAUUUAACGUUUUUUUAUAAUUUCAUAAUUUUAUGUCUUUUAUUUAUUUUUCUCUUUUUAUUUGUUCUGUACCUUUUCAGAUAUGUUAUUUCAAAACUAAUCUAUCAUAUCUAAACUAUUCAUGAUAAAUUUAAGUUAAAUGAUUUUCUAAAAAAAAAUUGAUUUCAUUAAAUUUAUAAAACAACAAAAGCGAAAUCAAUAAAAAUAACUUUGGAAUAAUUAAAUAACAUAAAAAAAAUGUUUAACAAAUAUUUUAAAAAUAUUUAAACUUUAAUUGUACAAAUCUUUUUUUAAAAAAAUUUCUUUAAAAAUUUAAUUUAAUGACAAAAUUUGAUUUAAAAUUUAUUUGAAUUAAAUUUUGAAUCUAAAAUCUUUAUCAAACUAUGUUAAUACUUUUUUAUAUCUUCCAUCCAUUUCAUUAUAAUAGUCUAUAAAUACUUGUUGCUUCAAAGAACAGAACAACAAUCCUCUUGUUUAAAUGAAAACACAGUAGUUUAUUCAAUUGAGUACUUAAAAAAGUUGAAAAUUUCACGUCGAAUUUAAAGAACUAAGAUAAAUUAUUUUAAAUAUAUGAAAUUUGUGUAUUAGAUUUAGAAUAUAAAUUUUUAAAAAAAGUAUAAAAGAAUAAAUUUCAUAACAUUAUUUACGUAAUCCUUCUCCCGAAUCCAUCUUAUCAAAACUACCCUAUAACUAUUUUUCAAAAUACAUAUUAACAUAACACUAUCUAUCAUAAUUAUUUCCUCAAAUCCAUACUAUCGUAACACUAGUUUUAUCAUCGCAUGAGUCAUUUCAUAAUCCAACAUUUCCUCUAAACGGUCCCUAAAGAUUUUCAGAGAGUAGUAUGAAAAUAAAUGAUAUUGUGGACUCUAAUUUCCUCGAAAGAGACAAAACUAUGUUUUUAAUAAAUGAUUUUUACAAAUGACAAUGGACACAUUUGUAAAAGUAACCGUGGGAGAAAAUUUUAGCACUAGGAUCUACCGGAGGUGCCUAAAUAAUAGAAUGAGGGAGUAUAUGUUAUUGUAAAGUUAAAAUAUUUUUCAUUGUAAAUUGAAUCAUAUAAUUAUUAAAAAAUGACAUAACUUCAACGUCAAACACAUGGUAUAAUUAAGUCUUCUACUUAUUUGAAAAUGUUAUCUUCAUAGACAACUUUUAAGAACAGGACCUUAGUGCUUUUAGUGACCCCAUAAUGAGUCAUGAGUCAUUACCAUUCCCAAAAUUUUUCAUUAUAUAGAUAACUUGGGUGGAAAAAACUGGAUUAAAAACCUAUAAGCCAAUUGAAAUCAACUAAAAUGGGAUCCACACCAAAGCUAAAAUCCAUUAUCUCGCCCUCUCAAAAGUUGUUCCAAGUCUCACCACACAAAUAUUAACUAUAAAAAGUCGAUUUUAGUUUUCUGAAGUUGAAUGUAGCUAGAUGAAAGAAAACGCUAUUAAAACAAUUUGAGUAUUCAUCUAAUAUGUAUUCUUGCAGCCACAUACAUAUUUAAUAGAACUUUAUGGACUCAAGCUUCUCCAACUUUAUACUCUUAUAUAUACAUAAACAUACACACACAUAUGCAUAUAUAAUUCACAUAGUAUCAUACCACUCACUAGCAUUUGUCUUUCAGCCCCCUUUCAUACUUGAGUUAAUGUCACAUCCAUUCAAAUUAUUUUUACUGCAUCAUAAAACCCCAUGUCAAUAAUGGUUUGUUAUAAUCUAAAAAUGAAGGUUCAAUCCUUAUCUUCUGUUAUUAGAAAAUGCAUGCCUUUCUUUUUUUCGAUUUUGAGGCUUCUUGAAUAACGAUAUAGUGAAAAGCCAAUAAAGAAAGAGAUAUAUUCUUUUAUAUUUGUAAUUGGAUUCUUAAACCAAACAAAGUUAGGGAGUUGCGAGCUCUUGUAUAACCCCAAAAUGUUGAUAUUGUUAGUUUGGAAGUGCUUUCUUAGUUAUUGAAUAUUGACUAUAGAAAAUAUUUGUUGUGCUAGAAAUUGGUAGUUUUUCAAGAAGCAUCCAUAUUUUGAAAAGAGUGAGGAGAUAGACUAAUGAGGUAUGGUGGUUUUUCAACACUCACUACCUCCAUCGAGGACGAGGAAAAUGAAAUAAUUUUUAUUAAAAAAUAUUAUUUUUUUAAGAAAACUUUUUAUGUUAAAAUAAAAAUAAUAUUCACUGUUAUUUUUUAUUUUCUUUAUUAUGAACAAACGAAGGCUACACAUUCAAUGUAACCUCAAACCCUAAGAAACUUGGAAUUUUCAAAGAGUUUGAAAGGAUGAAUCUAAAUAAAGUAAAUAUGAGAAAGUAGGCUUGAGAAGUGUCACUGUAAGUGUGUCAUGGUAGGUAGAAAGAUGGAAAGCUAAGAAGAAAGGGUUUAAGAGUUAAGAAGAUUAGGUUAAAAAGAGAAAAUUUUUGGCUAACUCCAUGGCCUAAGCAUUUUGGGGCUUGGCUAAAAAGAAGAGAUAACCUCCAAGCAUUUAGACAAGAGUGGGAGGCAAGCUUGAGUUGUGGAUGUGUGGCCAAGAAGGUUGAAAUAACUUCCAUGUGUGCUUGGCGAGAUGACCUUGGCUAGGUGAGAAGAGUGUCCAUAGAGGUUAGUUGGGACGUUUAGGCUUGGUGAGAAAGACUUCUUAAAGGUUUGUGAGGCGUGGAAGAUAGGUGUGGAGGGCAUGGCUAUGUGAGAUGAGGUUAGCAGCCAUGUCAAGUGAGGUUAGUAAGGCAUUUCCAAGGACUCAAGGCAUUUUGAGUGAGGUUAGGUGAGAUGUAGAAGAAGUGGAGUCGGUGAAGUACUUUAUAGAUGUCAUGUGCAUGCUUAGGUUAAAUUUCGAUAAACAGGAGGUGUCAAUAAUUUCUCAUGCAAGGUUCAAUAUUAAUAGGUCAUUUCCAAUUGAAAUUUCUUCCAAUUUACUCAUGCGUUUUUGCUGAAAUUGGUCUUAAACAUUCAUAAAUUGUGUUCAUUUUGUAAGCUAGGGCUCCUAGUUUAAUAUGAUGAGACGAAGGUUGAAUUUGAGUUGAAAGAAGGGAGAAUGGUCAUUCUCGAAAGGAUUUUGAAUAGUCUUCACUUCAAGGAGGCUACAGAACACAAUACGUAAAGGUUUUCGCUGAAAUUUGAGGUACGAAAGUUAAGACAUUUUCCAGCAACUUUGUAGAAUAAAAUAUUUUCAUUCAAGUUCUGAAUGUUAAGAUUAAGCUCUAAAGGGAAGUUAAGGUUCUAGCCGAAAAAUGGUGUUCAUUGCAGUGUUGGUGGUUGGUUGAGUGUAAGUGGGUUUUAGGCGAGAUGGACGUGUGUUUUGGAUUAAAAUAGGUUAGCGUGUGUGUUGGCUUGUAUUGGACGCCCAACCUGCCCACAAAGUGUCAUUGUCAAGCAAGUGCAUGACAAACCCUGCGCGUGCGAAAGGCCACACGAGAUGCUUGAGGCCCGCAUAGCAUGCCUCCUUGCAAGGUUAGCACACGACAAGGCCUGCCUAGGCUUUGCACGUGUGUGCCACCCUUGCCACCCACCCCAUGUGCGUUAGCCAUGCUAAAUAUGCGUUUUUGGGCCGUUUCAAGAAUUUUUGAGAACUUUAAGUGAAGUUAUGAUGUUUUUAUGAUUAAAGGGAAUUAAAUAGAAUUAUUUCUUGUUAUCUCAGGUUAAGAGAAGAUUGAAAAAAUUUAUAGACCAAGGGUUUGAGGUGCCAUCUGUGAGUGACAACAUGAUUUCUAAAUGACAAUUCUAAAUAUGAUUUACAAGCUACCAUUUAAAUAUGUUUUGAGAUGAUUACUGAUCUAUACUGAUUAUGAUAUCUUGAUUUCCAAGCACGUUUAUGAAAAGUACUUGAAUAUGCCUAAUUUGAAAUGUUUUAAUAAAGCAUGUAUUCUUUGACCUGAGUAAGGUUUAGAGAAACUGCAAGGCAUCAUUGAGGUUUCCUCAUAUUAGUCUCGCUUCAAGAUUAACGAGGAGUUUAGUCAAGGGCCUAGGUCAGAUGAAAACUUUAUCUUGGUUGUGAGCGGUUUUAAAAUAUUUUGAAAACCAAAAGGGUUUUCAACUCAUAUUUGAACUAUUGAGUAUUGAUGUUUAUUUAAUGCUACCAUUUGAUUUGGAAAUGGAUUAUGAUUUGUAAAAGGUUUUUAGUACCCUAUGUGAUGAAUAUUGCCUUACACUUGCUUUGUGAUCUGGUAUAAGAUGUCUUACAUUUGCUCUGUGUUUUGGUGUAAGAUGCCUUACACUUUCUUUGUGUUCUAGUGGAAGACAACUUAUACUUGUUGUGUGGUUUGAUUUAAGAUUUCUUUUGCUUGCUUUGUGAUAUUGCAUUGAAAGAUGUGCUAUGCCUAUAUGGAAUUGAUGGUAUUUGUUGCGUGCAUUGAGAUUACCCUGAACAACUGCAACUCAAAUAUGAGAAUAAUAAUAACAUUUCAGCUGAGGAUGAGUGCAUUUGUGAAGCAUUGAGAAUUUAUGCGAGGAAAAGAUGAAUUUCCAAAGAGAAUAUUUGUGAACUAAGUGUUGUGGAUUUUGAAUAUUUAAAAUUGCUUAAGGGCAGUAGAAUGGUUUUUGGAUUUGAAAUGCAUGUUCUUGUCAAUCCUGUUAUGUUUCCAAAAUGAAUUUCAAGUUUAUGAUUAUGCAUUUUGUUUACAAAAACCUAUUUAAAUUAAAUGUGUUGAUGAAAAUUCUCACUCACUAGACAUUUUGUCUAAUUUUUUAAAUGUUUUGUUUUUCCUCAGGUAGCGAAGGACAUCUAGAGUUUGAUUUGUCGUUUUGAUAACAUGUUGUGCCAUAGUUGCAUCACAUCUUGUUAGUGAUAUCCACUCACUACUACAAAACCUAUAAUACUUGACGCUUGUAGUUUUGAAAUACUUGACGCUUCUAAUAAAAACUGUCAAGUAAUGUAAAAAACGUCAAGAAUAAUAAUUAGUGAAAAAAGAUAUAUAUAUAUUUUUUUAUUUCAAAAGCAUCAAGAUUAGUGGUAAUUACUUGACAUUUUUUAAAUGUCAACUAAUAUAUAUUUUCACAUUUUUCUUAUAAAAAAAAAUUCUCUUUUUUUAUUUUCCCAAAACUCCCUUUCCCCAUUUCUAAAAAAAUCUCGAAGUUUUUCCUCCAAUUUGUUUUUCCUCUUCCCCCAUUUUCUCCCAUCACCAAACGAACACCUCCUCGUUCGUCUUCCCCGUUACUCUCUCCAUUCGUGCACCACCACCUUCAAUUGUCAGUUGAUAGUUUUUAUUUGUCUUCUCUGUUCGUGCGGCACCACCUCCUCGUUCGUCUUCCCCCUCCCUCUCCCCGCUUUCACAAUUUUACAUUGUUCCAAAAUUUAAAAUCCAAUUGAUGACUGGUUGUAUGUUACAUUGAUGUUUGAAGUUUAAAAUCUUCAAUAUAGAGUGUCUGAGAAGACGCCACUUCGUCUUCGUCUUCGUCUUCCUCUUCGAUUUCCUUCCCAUUGCCUCCCUUUCAAUGCCCUAUUUCCUCUACCAAGUUCUUGCUUGGUUGGUUCAGACACCAAUCAACCAACCAUUUUUAGUUUCUCUUUUUGUUGGGAAGAAAAAACAUGAUUAAAUUUUAUCAGAAUUCUUCAAUUGAAUGGAAGCCCUCUCCUCUAGUUGCACAAGCCUCUAGUGCUGAUUAUUCUCAGGUGGCGAGUGCCCGAGAAGACAACUUGCUUGAGAUUUGGCUGAUCUCUCUUGGUUCUGUUGGGUGACACUGUCGGUUGGUAUGGUCGCACUAUCAUUUAUUCGAUUCUUGGUCCAACCGAUUGAUUUUGAAGUUUGAUUCAAUUGUGCUUUUUAUGCCGAGUGUAGCCACCUAUUUUUAUCCUACUCAUAUAUAUCUUUUUUUAAAUAUUAAUAUUAGUAAUAAUUGCUAAAUUAUUUAUUUAUUUACUUUUAAAAAAGGUAAAAAAAAUUAAUAAUAACAUAAUAUCUUAUAAUAUUUCAUUUUUAUCAUUUUAGGAAACAAAAAUAAAUCAAAUUUUUUUAAAAAAAAUCUUUUAAUAUUAUAUUUGUACUAUUUUAGGAAAAAAGAAAUGAAUUUGUUUUAAAUAAAAUCUUCUAAUAUCAAUUUUGACUUACUUAAAUCAUUUUAGGAAAAAAGAAAAUCAAUUUUAAAUAAAAGUAUCUUAAUAUUCAUUUGAUAUAUUAAUUUAUUUUUCACAAAAUCUCAAAAUUCAUAUUUUAUUUUAAAACUAGCUCUUUUGAGGACGUCGGCCGCUCCGCGUCGUCUUGGGCACGUGGCGACAUAGAGCAUUAGUGGAAAUCCCACUUUUAGGCUGUCAUCACUUGUUUGGUGUUUUGCUCGUUCAAAAGAUAGGCUUUUUGGUUGUUUAUUUUCAUCCAACAUUAAUGGUUCCAUUUUGGAGUAGGAUUUGUUUGAUUUAAAGCAGAAAGUAUACACUCUUGUUUUUUUUAAAGAAAUUCUGUUAAUUUGUCGUAGUCUUAUGGACUUCAAGUUAAUGGUUUAAUGUGUUGUUUCUAAUGUUCAACAAAGCAUCUGUGUCUAUUUAAAUGUUGCAGUGGCGUUUAUGUAAUAUUCAUUCUUCUUUAAAUGCUAUAUGAAACACAAUGAGUGCAGUAUUUAAAUUCACCGAAGAUAUUUGAAUAUUGAUACGAAAAUUAUUGCUAGAAUGGUGAAAUUUGCGGUUAGUAAUAUAUCUCAAUAUGACUUUGGGUCUUUAUGGAGUACUGUAUUUAGCUUGAGGGGAAAGAUAUUCUUUUUAACUAAUUUACCAAGCUUUAUUUGGGGAGAAUACUUUUUAAUGAUGACAUUCAUGUUAGAACCUUUUUGUUUUACUAAUUCGAUAAUCUCAAUCAACUCUACUAUAAUCAUCAUUGUUGAAUGUUAGGAGACAACUUCUGUGGUACUUGCUUGGCUCAUUUCAGCUUUAAAGGUUGUUGGCAGAUCCUUAACUGAUCAUAGGUUUUUAUUCCUUGGAGCUGGAGAAGUAAAUCCAUAGUAUAGACUAAGUUGGGCUAAAGAGGAUAUUUUAUAACCAAGUUGUUUGUACUUAAACCAUUUUGUAUCUGUAAUUUGCUUAACACUAGAUUUUUAUGCAAACUCUUACGUAUUUAUGAAGUACUUUCUUUUUUAAGAUUUUCAGUUUAAACGUCUAAUGCAUUUGGGUAUGUUAUAUGUCUUAUGUGGAGUAGUCUAUGUGAUACAAACAUUAGACAAUGUAGUAGCAAGUGAGAGUCUAAGCGUUUCAUAGAAUGAAACCUUCCACUAAAUCAACUAAGUAUGUAGUAGUAUUGAUUAAAGAAGUAAAAUAAUGGCGAGGAAAUUUCACUUACUAGGCGCCAAACGAGCUAUCUCGUGGUGAGAUAGGCAUUGAGUGUCUAGAAGGUCACAAUUUCUCUGGAUCGCGUGGGUUGGCCUUGGGAGGGGGUGUGACAUGUAGAAAUGGUUAUGAGGUACUUAAAGAAAACCUAAAGUCUAGGAUUACAAUAUCCGAUGUUUUAUGCUAUUCUCUAAUGUUACAACAAUGUGAACUAAAACUCCCUCUUGAAUGACUCAUAGUCUUCCAGUGGCUAUUUCUUUAACAUAGCAUGAGGAGUUGUUUCCUAGAAGUCCAAGAAAUUGACUAUUUUGGCUUAGUUGAUGAUGGAGUCAAAGAUGAUAACAUUAGAAAUUGCUAGUGAAGAAGCAAACUGGCUUAAAAGUCUGCUAUCAUAGAUUCCAUUAUGCAAAAAAUCGAUACUAGCCAUCUUGAUCCAUUGUGAUUAUACUGCAACAAUCGUAAAAGUUUAGAACCAUUAUUUAUAACAAAACGAGAUCAUAAAUUCAUCGUAAACACAACACCAUUAGAGAGUUCUUCACUACUAAUUUAGUUAAAGUGGAUCAUAUAGAGACUAAUGAGAACCUAAUAGAUUCUUUGAUUAAAGGACUAGCUAGAGAGAAGGUUUUCAAAACCUUAAAAAGGACGAGGCGUAUGCCUAUAGAAAAAUGAAUCACUGGUGAGAAAAAUAUAACGUGUAGAUUAGAGAUUCCAAGAAAUAGGUUCAAAGGGUAAUAAUUGAUCAUAAAAGAUAUGAAGUGAAUCGUGUAAAACAUUAUAGAGUUAUUUCCUAUGACUUAAAGUCACAACAUGAUAUCCUAAAGUGUAAGAAAGGUAGAACUUAGUUCUUAGUGAGAUCUAUACUUAAUGCAAAUAAAGUCCCUAACUAUAGGAGUAUUCUUGAUAGACUUACCUAUGUGAAUGUGGAGGUGAGAGCCGCCUCCUAUGAAAUUUUAAGCAAAUUCUCUAUUCACAAAAUUAGAAUACACAUUCUGGACCUUAAAACACAAACUUUCCAAUUACACCUUAGAAAUGUUGUGUGUUUGAUGUUGUUAGAGGUAAGAUUCAAAACCAAGAGUUACUUUAGUAUAUUCUAAAUCAUCUACACUAGGUAAAAGUUCAUGUGUAAGACACCUUUGCUUAUGCACAACAUUUCAGAAUGAUAUUGCUGGAAGAAAAAUGUUAAAAUUUUUAAAUGGGGGAUUGUUAAUAAAAUUUAUUCAAAAUGUCUUUUGAGAGCCCCAUAUUGAUUAUUUUGACGAGGGAAAGUUCCUUUAAAUGCUCUCAUCUUUUUGUAUGCAUUUGAAUCUCAUAGGAUACUAAUGUUUUGAAAAUGGUGAGAAGAUAGACCAAUGGGGUAUGUUGGCCCUUCCACAUGUGUGCAUGCUAGGUCUUUCGGGCGAGGAAUAAUAAUAUUUUAUUAAAAUUAUGAUUAUUUUUUUAAGAAAAACCUUUUAUGAUAAAAUAAGAAUAAGAAACAUUUUUUUUGCCACUAACAAAUGAACGGAGGCCACACACUCAAUGCAACGAUGCUGGUUUUCUAGCCCAAGGUGACACACAUUCUUAGAUGAUCAUGUGUUUCGUUCUCUUUGGCGUCGUGGCUUAUAAAAUCCACCCUUUGCUUCACUUCUCCAACAUGUCAAACACUUCUCUCUCACCUCUCAUCUCCUUUUAUAUAUUUUGUGUUUGUAUCGAGCAAUAUCAAGUUGUUCUGAAAAGGUGUUUUAUCUUAGCAAUUGUUUCCAAUGAAUAAUCGAUCGUGAUUAUGUUUUGUUUUGGUUGUUUUAUCUUGGGGAUGAUGUGACAUAUUUUAGAAUUGCUUGCAUAGACAAUGAUAGAGCUGUAAAACGUUUUAAAGAGAGCAAGCUCCGCAGCUUAUUCUUUAACUAGUUUCUAUUUUGCAUAUUUAAAUUUUUUAUGAUCCAAUGAUUAUUGUUUCCUUUUGUUGACGACUGAACAUCAUAUUUCUUCGAUAUCUUUUCUUAACAAAAAAAAAAAAAAAAGAAAAAAACGUAAAAGUAAACUCAUGAGUUAAUGACAUACACAAUAGAUUUAAUAACACGUCUCUCUAAUAUCUCUAAACAAAAAAGUUAAGACGUCCAACCACCACGAAAAUAUUACCUAGAAAAUUACAUUUUUUUGUUAACAUUUUUUUAAAAAACUCUACUAACAAAUAUUUUGUUAAACCGUGAACACAAUUUUGUUUAAAAAGAGGGGAGUUCGUCUCUCCACCAUCUUAGUGAAUUGCAUUAUUAGUCACAAGGCCUUGCAUUUAAUAUUUCAUAAGCAAAGAAUAAUUAUUACAAAAAGUUUGGCAUCUCUCCAUUUUAAUCAAUGGGUUUAUCUGCCAACUUUAUAUUUAAGAAAGUUGGACAAAUUAAAAAAUGAUUAGGUGUGGUUUGAAAACCAUCUUCUUCUUAAUUUAUUAUUUUUUUUAAAUUUACUAUAACGGUAGUGUCUAACAAAUUAAAAUAAUAUAUUUUUUAAAAAUUCAUUUAUAAAAUAAUCUAUUUUAGAAAAAUCUUUAAAAACUUCGUGUAUAAAAUUUAAACUUAUUUUUAAAAAAAGGUUUAUUAUUAAAAAAACAUUUGGUGACCUUUAUAUUUAUAUUUUUUCUUCUAAAUCUCACCCACAGUUUUUAGAGGAAACACUUGAAUUCCUACCAAAAUUAAUUUUAGAAAUAUACACUUUUUAAUUGCCUCCUUUUUUUUGUUCAAAAGUUUUGUUGAUGGUGCAUUUUAAAAAAUAACAAAAUAAUAAAAUUAAAUAAUUUCAAUAUUUGUUAUCCAUAACCAUUUUCCUAAAUUUAAACCACAAAUUUUUGGAAAUGUAUCCAUUUUCACUCGAAAUUGAUACUUGUGAUAAUUUUAUCAAUCAAUCUAACUUCGUAAUUCAAUAAAUAUAUGUAAAUUAAACUAUCAUUUAAUUAAUUUUUCUUUGAAAACUAUCGGCACAUCUAUCAUAAUGAUCCUUUUUAGUAAUUUGGCAUUUUAAUCAAUAGUUUAAUUGAUUAACUCGUAACGAUUUGAAAGUUUAAUUGAAAUAAUUAUAUGUUUCGAAUGAUAUUUUAAUUCGAAAUAAGUUUGAAGGAUGUUAAAUUGAUAAAUAACAAAAAUUUAGAGUUUAAAUUGUUAUCAUUAUUAGUUUGGAGCAUAUUUUCAAUUACAUACAACAAAAUGAACAAAAUAAUUACAAAAUAUAUCAAUAUUUCAAAAAUAAUUACAAAAUAUAUCAAUAUUUCAAAUUCUGUUAAUGAUAGAUAUUAGAAAAAAAAAUUCAAUUUAGACCCUUCAACUUUGUGGUUUGAAUUAAUUUAAUAGCUAAUAAUUGUAUAAGUCAAAUCCUCAACUUUGGAAGUUGUAUCAAUUUUAACCUUAAACUAAUAAUCAUACCAAUUUAGUCCAUAAACUUUUAGAAAGUAUCAAUUUAGACCUCGAGCUUUUAUAAAUUUAUCAAUUUAAACUCUUCAUGAUGUUUUAGUUGGAGACACAUAUUAAAGUUUAUGAUUUAGAUUGAUGGAGUUUGAAAGUUUAAAAAUGGAUUUUGUUUUGUUUUAUUAUUAUUAUUUUUUAAAGAAGGUUUGAUUUUGUUUCUUUUAAAACAAAAUAAAAAGACAAUGAUUGAAUUGGCAUGUUAGCGUAAGGAACAAAAGGAAUUGAUACCAAACUCAUAAAUUUGGAUAAAGUCGUAUCAAUUCACUAUUUAAGAAUUUAAGUAUAUGGUUAAGAGAAACGAAUGAAGCCCUCGUCAAAGUCUUUUGGGCAUGAAGAAUAUCUCUUAUUUUCUUUAGUCUCGAAUAGUUGCACAACCGAAAUUAAAUUUAUACCGAUCUAAUCUCACUUUGACAACUUCAAAAAAUAUUUAUGAUUUUUUUUUUUAAUUGGGUUAAUUUUACAUGCUUGUUCAUACACAAUUAGUAUAUACACGUAUAAAGUUAACUGAAUUUGUAAAUAUAAUCAGUCAUUUUAAAAUAAUUAGAAGUAGGAGAAUCAAAUCAUGUACAAUCUCGUGAUUACUAAUAUACUUGUAUAUCAAUUGAGCUACGUUUGAUUUGUCUAUUUUAUAUAUGUAAAUAGAAAACAUAAAUAUCUAUAAUUUAUUUUCUAAACUGGAUUAAUUUUACUCACACAUUCAUACCCAUCCAUACACUGUCACUGUCACGUAUGUUCUUUACAUUAUACAUGUGUAAAGGUUGAAAGUUAAUAAACUAAAAUUUGUAAAAUAUAACCCACCAUUCUAAAAAACAAAUCUACCAAAUUGAAUCUUUAAUUUCUAAUUAGAUGUUGAGAGUUGAAACAACGUAACCAAACUAUAAUACCUUACCUUCCGUGUGGGACGUGAAAGCAACUUGAGCAGCCUUAACGCUCUGAAAUAAAACGUCAGAACGCUCAACCUUAAACUUUAAUUCUUAGUCUUAGUGCUUAACUUGAUCUUUAAUCUUAACUACUAGGCGAUAAACUUCACAACAUAGGUUAAAAUAAACAAAUUUAUUUUAUUAGCUUAACAACAACAUGUGUUUCAAUAUAUAAUACAUACUUCUUGAGUACAAAGAACUAUAAGAUAAGGCUCCCAACACCUAGCGCAACUUCUUCAGAUUCACACUUUAAAUGUCUAGUUUAACCCCUUAGCGUCUAGCUUACUCGCCUUACCCUUCUUAAAUUGGCCUUGAUACUUUAGAAAGGGAAACUUAAAACGUAAGUCAAUUACUUAGUGAUUGAGGUUUUGGAAGUCAUUUGGGACAUACAAUGUGUAAAUAUAUUUUCAUAAAUAGCUUUCCUGCACCUCAUUCAAAACAUAAAACACACAUUAAUUUCCUCUUAUUCCUUUCGCCAAGAACAUGAACCAUGCAUUCCCCACACAUAUACUAUUGUGAUGAAUGCAUCAUCAUCACCAUCCCCUAAGAAUUUUCUCGAUUCAUUUUCCGUUGCUCAGGCUGUUAACUCAAUACACUCAUUUCAAACGCAUUGGCCAACUUCUUACUGCCACGUGGUCCUUUCAUCUCAUGGUUGCCUUGAUUCAUUAUCUGCACAUAAUAGCUAGCUUGUGAUAGGAAUAAAGUUAACGGUUUUCUUGCAUACAAGGAAUUCAUACAAUCAUCAAAUAGAAAACUUUAACUUGAUACAAAAUUUAGAACUUCAUUUUAAACAAUCAUGCUUCUUCAUGAAUAUUAACGAGAUUAUACAUGCAUUACAUAACUUAAGACUUAGGAAGAAAACUUCAAAACUUCAUUCUUUGUCUUAGUAAAUCACUCAAGAAAAUACUUAGUUUCCUUCCUUCCUUUGAUUACCAAACUCAAAGUAUUUUUCUUCUUACCUAGUGAUUUCCUCAACAAGACAGUGCUUGAGUAAUUUUUCUUAGUAAAUCUCAGAGUAACAUUCUUUUCUUCACAACUUUCACUCUUAUUUAUACUCAUCCUUAAACGAAUUAGUCAUCCUUAAACGAAUUAGUCAUCCUUAAGCUUUCCUUAACUUGCCAGCUCCUACUUGGUGCUUUUUACAGGUGUGCGCUUAAUAUCCUUCCUAACAAUGCUUAGCUUAAACACCACACGUGGUUCACUAUCUAAUCAUGAUUAGGAAAAUUAAUUUUCCUAACUCCUUUGCUGGCUUCUUUCGUGAAGUAAUACCAAAACGCCUAACUUUCUAUCCAUGAGCUUCAAUGCAUGCUAGUCUCCUUCCGUCGCCUAUUCUUAACUCGAUUUGCCUUUCAAAACGUCUAUUCCUAAAAUACCUUUUUCUUCAAAAUCCCUUCUUUUCAAGACACAAUUAUUACACCUUUCCUUUUGCUUCCAAGUGUCAAUUAUUCGCUCAAUCAAACCAAUCUCUCAAUUUCAUCAUUGCCAUCUACCACAUGAAGGGUAAGGAUGAUAAAAUAAGAGAUUAGGAAGUGACAUGAAAUGGUAGGGAAGAAGGAGGAAGGUUAGAUACACUUUCGUGGUCAUCGUUUGAAGGGACUCAGAGAGUAUCCUCAUUUGUUCUCUUCUUUUCUUGUGUUAUUUUACUUCCCUAAUUUGGCCAGUCAAAAUUACCAUGUGAUUUCUUCCGUUUUCUUUUUCUAAUGAAAACUUUCUUUUCAUACUAGUUUCUUGUUCAAUGGAUGUUUCAUGACCAACUAAAUUGUUAACUAUCAAAACUAUACCUUAAUGCAUACUUUCCAAAUCCAAACAAUACUUCCAUCAUGCAAUAUAACUUAAUGUACAUGAAUAUUACACUUGUAUAGAUCAAUAUCGGUAUAUUAGGAGUAAUAUAACGGUUAUCCACAAUGUUUAUUUAGCACACCAAUAUAAAUGUGUAUAAUACUAGAAAAUAAGAGAAAAACAGAGAAAGUGUAUCAUUGUCGUUUGUAUAUAUAUUGGUAAUAUCGAUACUCGAUAGCAUUUGAUAGAAUGAUCAAUUUUAAAUACAAGAAAAAUAAUAUAAAACGAUAGAUAAGAUGUGAUAGAUAAAAUUUAUUGAUGAAAAAUAAUCGAUUUUGUAGUGAAACCAAUAAAGGAUUACAAAUAGUUGGUAAAGACCAACCCAACUUAUUUAGCUAUACUCCAUUUUUCAUAUUAUACCGUUUUAACUAAACAUAAGAAAAAGAAAAAGGGAAAGGGAAAGAGAAAGAAAAAUGCAAAUUUCCACUUAUAGGGCCGGACUGAGUCGCCGUUAGCUGUUCAUCGCUUGAAGUCUCCAUCCCAAUAGAAUCGCCACCCAAAUAUCUCUAUUUCUUCACUUCCUUUAUUCUCACUAAUCACCAUCCUUCAGAAUCUCCUCAAAAUUUCCUAUAAUGCUUUGUUCUCCCGUCACAAACCAGGAAAAGAAUUUGAUUCCAUUUCCAACCCACUUUGGGAGGAAUGUAGUUUUUUAAAUUUGUCUGUUGUAUCUCGUCUGUUUUGAGGUUGCUGCUAAUUCCUCAUGGAUGCUAAUGUACGAGCUCGUUUCACACUCGGCAAACAGUCCUCCCUCAACCCAGAACGUGAAGAUUCGCAUGUGGUUACGGACGAGCUUGAUGAUUCGAUCGCGAUUGAUCCUGGGAUUAAGCUUAUGUACUUGGCCAAUGAUGGUGACUUGGAUGGGAUUAAGGAGCUACUGGACUCCGCUGCGGAUGUAAAUUUUCACGACACUGAUGGCCGAACCUCUUUGCAUGUUGCUGCUUGUCAGGGCCGCCCGGAUGUCGUUGAAUUGCUACUUGAAAGGGGUGCGGAGGUUGAUGUUCAGGACCAAUGGGGUAGUACGGUGAGUUUUAGGAUCCAUGUCUAUUUUUUGAAUUUGGGAUGAUUAUCUUUUGAUAUUUGUUGAAGUUGUAUCGAUUUAUGGUUUAGUUUCUUUAGUUUUUUAUUAGUGAAGUUGUUUAUUGUUUUAAUUAGUACUAUUACUUCGGUCUCGUAAUCGAUCCAAUACCUCUGAUGGGUGCUAAUGAAGUUAUCAGCGUUUUAGUUUCUGAUUGGUUCUUUAAGGUUCAGCUAAAUAUGGAUAGAUGUUAGAUGCUUGAACCAAGGUAGGUGAGAAGGGAAAUAAGGUGUCUGAAAAUAGUCGGGUUGGUAUGGUGGACAUUUUAUAGUCGUUUGGUCUUGUGCCUACAAUGUUAAUUUUCGUUUACUUGCAAACGUUGUAGAAGGGUGAAGAUUUGAGCCAUGACAAGUUUUUCUAGUGAGAUUGUAACUUCUAAUUAUCCGUUUUCUGUUUAUAUACUCUGGGUUAAGAAAUGGGAAGGCUGGAAGAAUUUGAAGUUGUAGAAUCAGGAAAUUUAGAAUUUAUUUUCUGUUUAAUAGCCUCUUGCAGAUGCCAUAUAUUACAAGAAUCAUGAUGUGAUCAAUCUCUUAGAGAAGCAUGGUGCAAAGCUGCCGGUAAGAAACUGUACUCAGCACAGGGGAUGUGCAAUUGCUUUUAUUCUGAUGUGCUUCUGACCUUACUAUGUUCUCAUUGUACUUACACGUUGCUGGGAGUGUUUCCUCCUCUAUAUCCCAGAUGGCACCAAUGCUUGUGCAAAAUGCUCGUGAAGUUCCGGAAUAUGAAAUCAAUCCAAAUGAGCUUGAUUUUUCUAAUAGUGUGAACAUUACAAAAGUAAGUUUUUGCCUACUUGCAUUCACGCAAUGCUAUCAAAUUUCUUCAAUACAUUUUUUAUUUUAUGUUGGUUUUUUUUUCUUUAUUAAUAUGAUAACAAAUUCAAUAAUUUAGGUAAAAUUGAUGAAACAGUAAAUGAAUUACCUGUUCAAAAGUUCAGUUAAUAUUAAUACCACUUUAGGGAUUCUGAAUUUAAAAUAACAAAAGAAUUUUAAUCACUUUUUUAAUUCUGCAAAUGCAAAAUACGAUUAUCAAAAUUCUCUCUCCUGGUCUAAGCAUGGUGGAAAAGACUUGGCUUGCUAAGAUUAGAAAGCUUUCAUGUUUGGGUCUCAAUUAAAACUACAUCAAUCUUAUCUACCAUGAUCCCUCAUACUUGCAAUUUAAUUUUUGCUGGCACACUCCAUCCUCAAGUUACCUUACCCAAUCUAGCACUUGGCAUACCAACAAUAAAUCCUAACUAAAUUAUGGAGCCUAUUAUCAAACUUAGAAAAACUAAACACUUAUCAAAAUUAAUUAGUGGCUUACACAUUGAUGAAACCAAAAAUUGAAGGAUGUAGCCAAUUUAUUCUAAUAUUCUCUUAGUGUAGAACUUUGUUGCUAUGUACUUGGUAAAUUUGGGCGUGUGCGCAGGUGUAUAGCGUUAUCAAGAAAUCAACUAACUUUACUCUUGCUUGUCCUCUGAAUCCAUUUAAAUAUAAUUACACAGGGAACUUUCCGCAGUGCUUCAUGGCGUGGAAUUCAAGUUGCUGUGAAGACACUAGGCGAGGAACUUUUCACCGAUGAAGAUAAAGUGUGGGUUUAAUUUUAGGAGAUCAGUAUUUCUGUUUCUUAUGUUUAUUAUGCUUCCUUUGACUCAUCGUGUAUUGGAGGUGGACUUCAUAAUUCCCCACAAUUUUCCUUGGGUUCCCUGCAUAUCAGAUUAUUGGAACCCCAUCACAGAUUUGGAUAGCUCUACAGCUUUUCCUUCUAUUUGGGUUAGAUAUGUAAACUUUACCUCUUGAUAUCUAUUUUAUUGUAAAAUUCUCAUGUAAUAGGAAGGCAUUUAGGGACGAACUUGGUUUACUUCAGAAGAUACGCCAUCCUAAUGUUGUCCAAUUUCUGGGAGCUGUUACACAAAGUAGUCCAAUGAUGAUCGUCACAGAGUAUUUGCCCCAGGUCUGUCCUGUUGUCCAACUUUAUUAUAUGAAGGAAGUUUGAACACAUUCAUUCUUUGGGGAACUCGGCAAUAGUUAUUUACUUUCACUGUGUUCUUUUAAACUUUGUUAUGUGUAAUGCUCAAGUGGUCAAUCAAAAUGGUGAAAUGGAUAUAGCUGUUCAUGAAGUUGAAGAUUGCGUGUUUCAGUCUAUGAAUGCAUUAAUGUUACGAUCUAGAUGUAUUUGAUAGAACACCAAUAAGAUGUGUUCUUAUUCAAUUGAUAUAAACUCACUAUUACAGAGAAGAAUUGAUAUGAGAUGAAAAUACAGAAAUUAACUAAGAACAAGUUAAAUACUUCCCUUCUCUGCCUAUCCUCUCUCUCAAGGAAGAGUGCAGAAAAACUACUCACAAAACUGAUCUCCCCUUUCUUCUCUCCCCAACUUCCCAUUUAUAACCAUCUAACUGUCUACAUAACUAACUACCCUUAGCCCUAUACUAAUCUAGGUAUCUAACAGUAUUCUAUGUUCCCUGAUGAUUUUGUUUACCUCAUUAUAUUUUCUUUCAAAUUAUUUCUAAGAAAAUCUGCUGAGCAGUAUUUCUUUAUAAUUCCAUGUUGUAAGAUUAAAGUGGAGAACUGGGCUGGAUCUGUUAAAAUAUUUCAAUCUUGUAUGAACUGAUGUCAGCUAAUUAGUUGCUAGUUUCUAACCUUUAUUUGUAUGAGUUGAUGUCCUAUGAGAUUAGUCGAGGUGCGCAUAAGCUAACUUGGACACUCACGAAUAUUUAAAAAAAGAAAGAAAGAAAAAGAAACAAACCAACUUUGGGAAGUUAUUGUUUUUUGUUCUUUAUCUUGGUGUCAUAUAUUCAAGCUUUUGUAAUUACUCUCUCAAUAUCUUGUUUCAAUUUGAAACAAUUUUUGCAGUGCCUUGUACAUUUCAUAUAUCACCGAAUUGUUUUUUUCUAAUAAAAAUUAUUUCUUUUUCAGGGUGAUCUUCAUGCAUUCUUGAAACGUAAAGGUUUCUUGAAGCUAGCAACAGUCGUAAAGUUUGCUCUUGACAUUGCAAGGUCAAUUCAGUUUUACAUUCCCUAAAUUUGUCUGGAAAAUUGGAAAUUAAUUCAUUACUAAAGUAAGAAACAAUUGGGCUAAAAAUAUGAUAUGGGCUAGUUCUACUUCAUAGCACUAAAUAAUAAUGUAUGCCAAGAGCACAUAUUGAUCCCAGCAUUUAAGGUAAAAGAAGUUGUCUUUACAUAAUUCUGAAAUUGGAUUAUCUUAUUCUUGAUUGUCACUCAAGUUGGUUUAGUCAUGAAAAAUAACGUAUAGCAUUCUACUUAGGAUUUUGGAGGAGAUCACCUUUCCAUUAGAAACAGCCAAAUAAGUCACCACUGAUUUGAAUAUUGUUCUCAACCAAAAGAUAACUAAAAAUUGCCCCUGAUUAAUGAAAAGUCAAAAGAGAACAUGAGAUAGAAGAUGCCAUUAAGAUUUGCACCCAAGAGAAUCAUCUUCAUAACAGAAGAUGAGAACAUUAGAAAGACUGCAUUUUGACUCUAAGAUUUUGUUUCUAAACAGUUCUAGUUCUAUAUGUUUUAGAUUUCUUUUAACUCUCAUGUACAUUGAGCUUUUGUCUCUCCAUUUUUCAAUAUUAAUAAUAGUGAGACUUGUUUCCUUUUAAAAAAAAUAUAUUUUAGAUUUUUUCUACUCAAACCAUGUUAGAAAAGUUGAUAGACAGAUAUCUGCUUAAGGUUUCUACUAUUUAUUUUACUGAAUUGUGCCGUCCAUUAUGGCGCAUAUGGUCUUUUCAUUUUUUGGUUGUUUCCUCUAACAUGUUAUAAUCUGACUAUUCAUGUGGCCUUAUUCUUGAUUUGAGUUCAUUUCUUUAUGGGCUUUCCUCUUGUGGUCUUAGAUCUGGAUGCCUUUAUAAUCUUGUUAACAUCAUUAUAAUAUAUUUUACAGGGGGAUGAAUUAUUUGCAUGAGCAUAAACCUGAAGCAAUAAUCCAUCGUGAUCUUGAACCUUCGUAUGUUCUUAUCUCUUACCAUUUUAUCUUUAGAGAUAGUUGUAUGAAAAAAGAUCGUGAAAUGGUUAGAGUAGAUCAUGUCAAGUUCUGAUGUAUGGUUGAGUGUAGUUUCUUACACAAAAAAGAAGUGACGGAGUUCAAAUUGAAUUUACCAUUGUAAAUUGUUAUCCUUUUCCAAACAAAAGAAAAAAAAAACUAUUCAUAAAUAGUUUUUACAAGACAGUGAAGAAAAGCAUGUUAGAGGAGAAAGGGUAUGAGCAUGUCCUGAAAAAGGUUCUAUACGGUUGCAUGCAACUAUUUCUGAUGAUAUCUAAUGAUCAUGAGAGUUUUUAUGUACUGAUAUUUGUCUGAAUUAGUCUGGAACUAUUGCUUAAACUGAUGCAUUCAUAUACUACAAUCACUUUACAACCAUGUAGUGUUAAUCUAUCAAUCAAAAUAAAUAGUGGCGCAAUCUGAAUGACAACUUUGAACUCUUGAAGGUUGUUUAGACUGUUCAUCUAUAAUUAACUGUAAUUAUCUCAAAUCAUCAUGUUGUUUUUGUAACCCUUUGGUGUGUGUGGGGGGUUUUUAUCUCCCCUUCCUUUUGUAGCCCUUUCUGAUAAUGAGGUUUUAUUCUUAUAAAAGAAAAAAAAAAUUAUAAUUAACUGUAAUCAGUAGAUUGAAAUGCCUAAUAUUAUUUUCGUUGGGGUGUACCUAGAGUUAGGCUUCUGUUGGCUUUGGCACGAGUAGUAAGUUAUUACCUGCUAAAUAAUAAUAUGGCAUGAGUAUAAGUUAUCAAUUGCUGAACAAUUUGAACUUUGAAGGUUGCUUAUUUGUUUAUGAGUAAGACAACAGAAACAUACUGCGGGAUGAUUCUGGGCACCUGAAAGUUGCAGACUUUGGAGUUAGCAAACUUCUAAAAUUUUCAAAUAGAGUUAAAGAAGACAGACCUGUGGCUGUGACAUGUCUUGAAACUUCAUGUAUGUUUACAUUUUGGCUAAAAUUAGUUUUUUUUCCUCUCCUCUCGCAAGAGGCAUUAUGUUGAAUCUUAUAACAUAUGUAUUGUGCUGAGCUUGGCCUUGAUUUAAAUAUCGAUAUCUAGAUUUCAAAUUUAUAGAUAUAUCGAUAAUAUAUUGAUAUUAACAGUUUUUUUAUAAAAGAAACUAUGAAGAAGAAAUUGAAUUAAGAAGCAAGUUGUUUUUAGUUCCAAACUAAGCUAUCCGUGUUAUCAUUAGUAUUUAUAUUGAUAAUGGGACUAAUGGAUACUCUUUGGAAAAAACUAGUCGGAUGGAGUCGAUAAUUUACUUAAAAAAAAAAUAAGUAAAAAAAAUCCCUCCCCAAACCGUGCUUGCAUUUUUCAUUGCACAUUGUACAUGACAAAACUACCGAAAAUAUUUACAAAAUAUAAUAAACUUCAAAUUCUAUCAUUGAUAGGGUUUAUUUUAUUAUAUUUAAAAAUGCCCCCAUACUUUCUAUAGGCAUUUCUAAAAGAUAACAAAAACAAUGUUGAACCUCUAAUUUACCAUAUGGACGAAUAUUUUACCCCUUUCUUGUAGGAAAACUACUUUAGAAAGUUCAUGCUUGAUAGUUAUGUUUGGUCCAGGUCUUCGUUUGAUCGAUCCUUUUGCUUUACUAAAAAGAUAUUGAAUGAAGAUCCCUUUUGCAGUUGGGUAUUUGGACAACAAUAUAUUUUUAUAUAUGUAUGCGUGUGUGUAUUUUCUGUACCCAUUUAUUGAAGUUGCUGGUUUCUCUUGUACAGGGCGAUAUGCUGCGCCUGAGGUUUAUAAAAAUGAAGAAUAUGAUACAAAAGUGGAUGUAUUUUCAUUUUCUUUGAUCUUGCAAGAGGUGAAAUUUCUCAAAUGAUUGUUCUCCUAUGCAUGCCAUUGCCAGUGUCCAACUUGUCGUCUGGUUCAUGUUCUUUUUGGUUUCAUAUGUGCACAUAUUGACAAUGUAUGUACAAUUAUAUUAUAUUGAGAAAAGAGACGUAGAGCACACAAUUUUUACGUGGAAACCCAGGGAGAAAAACCACGAUGCACAUCUCUUUUUUUAUUAUUUUCUCAUAAUACUGAAUGAUGCAAGGUGCAAAUAAAUAGACUACAGUGAGGAAUAAAAAAAGGAAAAAAUAUUAGGUCAAAUCUUUCCUUGGGCCAAAUCCACUAAAUCUAACACUCCCCCUGAAGUUGGAACGUAGAUAUCAAUAAGACCCAACUUGCUAACCCAAAAGUCAAAGUUCUGUAUGAGAAGUCCCUUGGUAAGGACAUCAACAACCUGUUGGCUCGAAGGAAUGUACGAAAUGCAUAUGCUACAAUUGUCCUGCCUUUUUUUGAUGAAGUGUCGAUCAACCUCAACAUGUUUAAUUCUAUUAUGUUGACCUGGAUUGUUGGCAAUGCUAAUGGCUGCCUUGUUAUCACAAAAUAAUUUCAUUGGUAUCUCAAAAUUCUGAUGAAGAUCAGACAAAACUUUCUAGAGUCAAAUUUCGUCACAUAUCCCCAAACUCAUAACCAUGUACUCGACCUCAACCCUGCUUCUAGCCACGACCCCUGCUUCUUACUCCAUCAAGUUACUAGAUUGCCUCAUACAAAGGUACAAUAACCCGAGGUAGAUUUCCUGUCAACAACAGACCCUUUCCAGUCUGAAUCAAUACAAGCUUCAAUAGUUUUCUUGUCUGUCUUUCUAAACAUCAAUUCUUUACUAGGAGUCGUUUUUAAGUAGCUCAUGAUUCUGUUUACAGCCUCCAUGCGUUCCUCAUAGGGAGCCUACAUGAAUUGGCUCACAACACUCAUAGUAAAAGAAAUAUCUAGUUGAAUUAUGGGACAAGUAAAUCAACUUACCCAUAAGGAGCUGAUAUUGUUCUUCAUCAACUGGAACUUUAUCAUCUGAAUUUCCUAGUUUACAGUUGAAUUUAAUGGGAGUAUUAGCAGGACGACGCCCCAGCAUACUUGUCUCGGUUAGCAAAUCAAGGGUAUAUACUUCCUCUGAGAUACGGAGAUACCUUUUUUAGAUUUGAUUACCUCCAUUCUAAGGAAACGUUUCAGAUUUUCCAAAUCUUUGCUUUCAAACUCAUUACCCAUCCUCUUUUUCAGUUGGAUGAUUUUAGAAUGGUCGUCCUCAGAUAGAAUGAUGUCAUGAACAUUAACAAUUCAAUACUGCAACCUUCCCAGCUUUGGAGACCUUUGUAAACAAAGUAUGGUCAGAGUGCCCCUGACUGUACCUUAGGGACUUGACAAAGGUAGUAAACCUAUCAAACCACGCUCUAGGUGGCUGUUUUAGAUCAUAUAAAGGUUUUUGAAAUUUAUACAUCUAAUGACCGGAUUGAGCUUCAAACCCUGAAGGGGGGCUCAUGUAGACUUCCUCCUCUAGGUCCUCAUCUAGAAACGCAUUCUUAACAUCCAGCUGAUAAAGAGGCCAGUCUUUGUUCACAGCAACAGAUAGCAGAACUCUAACUGUAUUCCAUUUAGCAACUGGGGAAAAAGUUUCUAAAUAAUCAACACCAUAGGUUUAAGUAAACCAUUUUGCAACUAAUCUCGCUUUGUGUCUGUCAAGGGUUCCAUCUGCCUUGUAUUUGAGAGUAAACACCCAUUUUCAUUCCAUAGUUUUAUGUCCCGUAGGUAGAGCACAGAUCUCCCAAGUCUUGUUCUUCUCAAGAGCCCUCAUCUCUUCCAUGACAUCAUUUUUCCACUCAGGACAUUCUAGUGCUAUGUGGAUAUUUGUUGGUAUCAGGUAGAGUUAAGGCUGGCUGUAAAGGUUUUGGACUGAGGAGAUAGGUUCUCAUAAGAAACGUUAGUUGGCAACAUAGUAAUUAAUGCAAGACCUGUACCCUUCUUUAAUGCAAUAGGAAGAUCAAGAGAUGAAACAUACUCACUGAUAGUUUCUGAAUGAUCCUCCCUAAUUUCAUUUUCUUUAACUUCUACACUGACCUCAUUCUCAUCAUUACUGCAUUUUCCAUCCAAGUGACCUCAAUAUCAACAUUACCUUGUUCACCUAUAUUUUCAGGAAUAACUGUCUCGGACCUAUCACUUUCACUCAUUUUACUGUCAAUGUGUGAGUCAAUAGAAUUAGUCAUACCUUGAUCCGUAAAGGUUCAGAAUCUUGGACCAGAGCUGACUGAUUAGUAGGAGACCUAACUCCCUUUCUAAGAUUCCUCUUAUAGUAGGUUUUCUAAGGAACUUGGUUCGUAGGUAGGAUCAUGUUGUGAGGAUUUAGGCUAGGUAUGGUAAUGAGAGUAGAAUUGAUGGACCUUAAGGAUAUCACAGGGUUAGACUCUUCGCUCUCAUUCUCCCCCUGAAGUAGGCUAACAAGAAAGAAAUGACGAUCCUCAAGAAAGGCAACAUCCAUGGAAUCAAAGUACUUACAAGAAGAAGAAUGAAAGCAUUUAUAACCUCAUUGGUGUAGGGUAACCAACAAAAACAUAGGCCUGAGCUUGAUGGGUAAACUUAGAUGGAUUAGGGCCAUGGUUAUGAACAUAAGCUGUGCACCCGAACACUUGAACAGGAACAUUAGAUGUAGGACACAAGAAUGCAUUUGGUUGAUAAGAUGGGCUGCAGUGAGAACAUCGCCCUAGAGAUAGGAAGGAAGGGAUGUAGACAACAUAAGAGAACGAGCGACUUCCAAAAGGUGACGGUUUUUUCGCUCGGUUACUCGAUUUUGUUGGGGAGGGGGGGUAUAGGCACAGAAACUUUGGUGGACAAUGCCUUUGGAAGACAAAAACUCAUCGAGGAUGUGGUUUUAGAACUCACGAGCAUAUCCACUUUGUAAAAUAGCAAUUUUUGUAUUGAACUGCGUUUCUACGGUGUUAUAGAAGUCCCUAAAGAAAGGGUUGACCUCAGAUUUGUCGGAGACAAGAAAGACCCUGGUAAGAUGUGUAUGGUCAUCAAUAAAGGUUACGAAUAUGAACCACCAUUUCUCAGAUGAGGUAGUUAUCUUGGAUGGUCCCCAGACAUCACUACGAACAAGUGUGAAAGGGUGAGUUGGUUUAUAUGGUUGUGAAGGAAAGGAAACCUGAUGUUGUUUAAGCCCGAAUACAUGUGUCACAAGAUAAGGAAGACACAUCAAGUUUAGAGAAAAGAUGAGAAAAUAAAUGUUUUAUAUAUUGAAAAUUAGGGUGGCCUACAUGAAAAUGCCAAAGCAUACAAUCAUGUUCAUAAGUAACAAAACAGGAAGAUAAAAGACUAGUCCUAUAAAUGCUACUAGAAGAGGUGUUGUCAUCAAGGAGGUAGAGUCCCCUACUAUGCCGAACAGUGUUAAUCAUCUUCCCCGAGCUAAAGUCCUGAAAAGAGACAAAAUCAGCUAAGAAUAUUGCUUUGCAAUUUAACUCAUGAGUAAUCUUUCUUAUAAAGAGCAGAUUAUAAGAAAUUUUGGACACUUGCAAAACGUUAUGUAAGAAGAGCCCUGCAUAGAGAGAAAUCUUCCCCUUCCUAACAAUGGGGGCCAAGGAGCCAUCUACAAUUCUAAUUUUUCGUUGCUAGCACAUGGAAUAUAUAGGACAAAAGUUCAGAGGAACCAGUCAAAUAAUUUGUGGCGCCAUAAUCCAGAAUCCAGAGGUUCUUCCCAUCAACACUAAUAAGAUCGAAGGAUGGAGGUAUACCUGAUUGGGCAAUGACACCUAAAGUAGCGGGACUAGGAUCGGUUUGGUUGCCAUGUGGAUUAGGUGGUUGAGAAAGUCUAGUAGAUUCAUUCACAUACAUUCGCUCUUUGUUUUGUUUGUCGUUGGGAGAGCGUUUCUUAACUCUUGGGGGAUGACUAUGUAAAUUCCAACAUUGUUCCUUGGUAUGCUAUUGUUUUUGACAAUGCUCACAGGCAAGAACUAGUUUUUCAUUGUGCUUGUCACUACCACGGGUAGAGGAGCUUGCACUUAAAACAGUGGAGUUAAUAGUAGGAGUUGCUGAAAUACUCGUAGCAUUUGUGCGAUACUCCUCAAGGCAGAUUUUAGAACAGACUUCCAUCAGGGAGGGAAUCGGUCUCUUGCCUAGUAUAUGUCCUUAAACUACAUCAAACUUAGGAUUAAGACGAGCAAGAAAAACAUAAUCUUGUCAAUCUCUUCAAUUCAAGUAUUGCAAACCAUCACUGAGAUUGCUAUCGAUUAUUUCUAUGCAUAGGUCCAUUUCCUAUCAGAUAAGAGAAAGCUUAUUAAAAAAGGAUGUGACAUCCAAGGUUCCUUGCUUGCAUUCAUGAACCUGCUUCCUUAGAGUGUAUAGGCGAGAGGCAUUUUGACGUUUGGAAUAUAGUGUAUGGUUGUCCCAAAUAUCUUUAGCAGUUGCAACAUACACUAGAGGUUUGCCGAUUUGUGGCUCCAUACUAUUGAUCAAUGUUGAUUGAAGAAGAGAGUCCUCUCCCUUCCAGUACCGUUCUUGUGGGUCUCCCAGUAAACAACAAGGUAUUUCUCCUAUCAGAAAACCGAACUUUUGUCGUUCUUCAAGGACCAUUUCACUGAUUGAGACUAUGAGAAAUAGUUAUUGCCGUUCAAUUUUUUUCUUGAAAAAUAUUCUGUAGACUAUGCAACUAUAUUAGAUACCUAAGAAACAAGAUAAAUUGGGGAAGGAGAUUACCGGAUUCUCAGAAUACAUAGGUACAGGUGUAUGAAGGCCAUGACUAGGAGUGUUAGAUGUCGUCCCUAAGGUAGCCUCAAUUGUUGCAAUCUGUUGUUGAAGCCCUUCUAAUUGUUGGUAAGCUAUACUCGAAGAAGAAGUAAAAGCUUGCAUGUUAGGGUUGGAAUGUGCCGAAGGCUCACUAACCUCAAAUGUUGAGUGAAUUUGAGGAUUCCUAACAUUGGGAUGAUAGCCAAGGUCAUGGGUGGCAAUGCAUACAUAUUUGACGGCAGAAGCAGUGGUGGUUGGCUGGAAUUAGGUGGCAGCAUAUGGAUCGACACUUGGGGAACACUACAUCCCGCGGAUGAAGACAAGGGUGACACAGGUAGGUCAGUCGACGAUGUGUGAACAGGAUGGACUGGUGUGUGUAGCUUUGGCGGCAGCUGCUGGCAGCGUGGACGACGGAAAAGGUUGCGGAAUUAAGUUUCUUGGCGUUGUGUGAAGGUAGUGGAACCAUUCAUCUAUGGCAGCGCUAAUCCAAGCAUCGACCGCGGCAGCGACGGCAACGCUAAUACCGGCGGUUGUCUCCUCAGUUUAGUUUCCAUCAUGAGUUGUGUUAUCUAGGAUAUGAUCACUACCACGCUUUGAUGCCAUAUUUAAAAAGAGACAGAGCAAAUACAAUUUUUAUGUGGACAUCCUAGUUUAGGCAAAAAAACCACAGUGCAAAUCUCUCUUUUUAUUAUUUUCUCAUAAUAACAAAUGAUAAGGAGAAAUAAAUAAACUAUAGUGGGGAAUAGAAAAAGGAAAAAAAUAUUAGGUCAAAUCUUUCAUUGGGCCAAGCCCACUAAAUGUAACAUUAUUUUUGCUAAGUAUACUUUUCAUAUUAGUUGGCAAAUAUAUGGGUGAUUCCAAUGCUCACUGAGGAAAAUAAUUGCUAUUUCUGCAAGGCUAUGGAUUUCAAUAUAAAUUUCCUUUGCAUAUCCGGCUACCUCCAUUCUUUGGAAAUAUUUUAGAUCUUUCAAGUCUUUGAUUUCAAACUCAUCACUCAUCCUCUUUUUCAGUUGGAUGAUUUCAUCAUAGUCGUCCCCAGAUAGAACAAUGUCAUCAACAUAAACAAUCAAUACUGCAACCUUCCCAGCCUCAGAGAUCUUUGUAAACAAAAUAUGGUCAGAUUGCCUCUGAUUGUACCGUAGGGACUUGACAAAGGUAGUAAACCUAUCAAACCAUGCUUUAGGUGGCUGUUUCAGACCAUAUAAAUAUUUUUGAAGUUUACACACCUGAUGAUCGAACUGAGCUUCAAACUCUAGAGAGAGGCUCAUGUAGACUUCCUCCUCUAGGUCCUUAUUUAGGAACGCAUUCUUAACAUCCAACUGAUAAAGAGGCCCGUCUUUGUUUAUGGCAAUAGGUAGCAGGACUCUAACUAUAAGUUUAGCAAUUGGAGAAAAAGUUUCUGAAUAAUCAACACUAUAGGUUUUAGUAAAACCCUUUUGCAACUAACCUCGCCUUGUGUUUGUCAAGGACAAGGGUUCCAUCUGCCUUGUAUUUGAGAGUGAACACCCAUUUGCAUCCCACAGUUUUAUGUCCCUUAGGUAGAGCUAAUGCAAUGUGGAUAUUUUUUGGUAUCACAGUAAAGUCAAGGCUGGAUAUGAAGGCUCUAAACUUAGGAGAUAGGUUCUCAUAAGAAACGUUAGUUAGCAAUAGAGUUCUUAGUGCAGGACCUGGUAUCCUUCCUUAAUAUAAUAGGCAGAUCAAGAGAUGGAUCAUUCUUACUCAUAUUUUCUGAACGAUCCUCUCUAAUUUCAUUUUCAGUAACUCUUGCACUAACCUCGUUCUCAUCAUUAACCUGGUCCAACAUGACAGAACUAAUCAUAGGGAGAUUGAUAGACACUUACCAAAGAGAGAUUGGAUAAUGGUAGCAUUUGCAUUCUGAUAGACCACCAAUAUUAUAUCAGUACAGUAGGAGAGGAAAUAAGAAAUAACACGUGAGGGUGAGGCACGUGUGAGUGAAGGGAAGGGUAGCAAUAUAAAUAAGUUUGUAAAGGGCGGAAGAGUCAGUUAGUUUUUUUUGAGUUUCAGAAUCUUUUCUGUUAUUCCUUGAGAGAGAGGAAAACAGAGGAUUGUGUUUCUGUUAUUUCUAUCAAUAAUAUCGAAUUACUAUUUCUACCUACGGAUUCCAUCACAUUCCUUACCUACCCUCAAGCCAACAGAUUGCUGAUAUUCUCACAAAGGGGCUCCUUAGACAAAGCUUUGAUUCUUGUGUUAGCAAGUUGGGUCUUUUCAACAUUUAUGUCUUAACUUAAGGUAGAGUGUUAGAAAUAGUGGGCUUGGUUCAUGUUGAAAUCCCUAGGGUAGAUAUGUAAUUUACUUUACCCUAAUUUUUUGUUCUUUUAAUUAGGCUUGUGUUGCUGUUAGACCCCAAUAUUACAUACAUAUAAAAGAAGGAGCAGAAAAGGGAUUUGACAGCGCUGAUGGUAAUUCAAGGAGCAGAUAAAUAGAAAACAACACUAAGGGCCCACUGUGGGUAUUGGAUAUUUAUGGAGAAUGUUUUGGGGAUGGCUGUUUUUAGGUUUUAUAUUGUCUUUUUGGUGAAAGCUUUCAUAGCCUUCAUAGGAGAAGUUUCCAGCCUUCUCAAAGGUGCUGGAUAAUAUUGUGGCUACUGUUCUCUGAACUAUUUGGUAUAGGUUUGUGUUACAUUUUGAUUUCUAUUAUCAAUAUAGUAUAUCAGAGUGCUAAUUCUAUUUUGUUUUGUUGGGAAUUUUCUGCUUUUCACAUUAAGAAUCCUAACAAUUGCCUAUAAAAACCUCUUCUAUAAUUAUCUUCGUAGGAAAAUAAUAAGAAAACAUCUUCACCGUGGUUUUUCUCCCUAUAAUAGGUUUCCAGGUAAAUUUGUGUUUCUUCAUCUCUAUUUUCAAUACUCAUAGCUAAAAGUAGAGAGUCCAGUCUUCUCCUUUAAAACCAAGCUCGAGAGUAGACUACUCAAGCCAAAUCUGUUGGGCUAUUUAUUUGGAGGCAUUCCUGAUGAACCCCGAUUUGUUGCGCACCCAUUUGGAGGCAUUCCCGAUGAACCCUGAUUUGUUGCAUCCACCCACUAGUAGGAGGAAAAAUUCCAUAGUCUACCUGCGUUCAAACCAUACACGACGUCUUUAUCUUCAAAAUCUUCCUCAAGACUGCUGCCUAGGAACUUGAACAGGAACUAGCUCCAGUAUUGUUUGAGGAAGGGAAGAUAAACCAAUUUUUCUUAAGGUGUGGUUGAUUAGAAAAAGCUCAGUUUAUUUCUGUAACGUAUUAGAAAAAGCUCAAUUUAUUUCUGUAACAAUCAACCCUACUUUAGGGGGCAUAUAUGAGGCCUAAUUCAUUUGUGGCCAUCUUUUUUAAAUUAUCCUUAUGACCCUCAUUAGACACUCGAUGAACGGAAGGAAAAACUCUACUGGCCCAUUCCAGAAAAGGUACCAUUAACAUUGGAGAAUUACAGAACUUACAAGACCCAAAUCAACAGGCGUUUGAGAUCCUUGAGAUCUCGUUACCCUCAGAAUUAAAUCUUAUUUCUUCUUGAUACUCACUGUUUGUCAAGACAUCUACAAAUCACCUCAAUGGCUUGACAGAGAACCUGCCAAUCUGGAAACUCAACUAUCAUAAAACCUCCAAAGGGAAGUGCCAUGUUUGGACGAAGUAAUUGUCAUAGAAGACAUUUCUCACUGCACAACAUGGCAAGGCCACAUGAAACCAACACUUAAUAUUGACUUAUUAACAACCUCUGAUCUGAUAUCUGUUUCUGAACUUGAUGUUUCUUUGAUUGUCCCUUUUCCUAAUCCGUAUCCCCCCUCAAUCAUUGCCCAUGUCAGUCAAAAUGUUUUAUUGGGAUAAUUUUUAUCCAUGAACUUGAGGUUCUCACGAGUUUUCUUUAUUCUAAUCAACUUAGUUUCUCAAGUGUAUAUAUGGGUAAUGUGUUGAAUAUUCAUAAAAUUUUUGGAUUUUGCACUUAUAAUUUGUAAUAUUGGUCCAGAUGUGCUCAUGCUAAUAACAUUGUAUUGUUUUAUCAUUUAUGGGAUCAUUGUAGAUGAUCGAAGGCAAUCCACCUUUUCCAACAAUGCCAGAAAAUGAAGUACCCAAAGCUUAUAUAGCCAACGAGCGCCCACUAUUUAUGGCUCCACCAAAUCGUUAUGCAUUUGGAAUACAAGAGUAAAGUCCUCUUUUUUUUCUUCUUUUUUUUUUUUUUUCAUUUUGAUGCUAUAUGCUUGACUACUAGAUGUCAGUAGAAAUAUUUUCUUUUGUUUGCAAGUCACUUCCUCGUUAGAAUAUUUUUAUGGUCGGGGCUUUUGGCGUAGCAGGCUAAACUUCUUUUAAUAAUUGUCAAGCCAGUUAAUCUUAAUAUCUGCACUUCCUUGUCUACAGGCUAAUUCAGGAAUGUUGGGAUGAGAAGCCGCAAAAAAGACCCACAUUUCGGCAAAUAAUAAGAAGGUUAGAGGAUAUUAACACUCGACUCAUGCAAACAAGAAGCUUGAAGGUAAACAAGGGCUCUCUCUCUCAAUCAACGUUAUUAACAGCCAUUUUGCUUCUCAUCGUAGCCAAAAUUUGAAAAGUAACCACUGUGAAUGUCAUUUAAAUUGUUUACAGGUGAAUCCAUUUUGCAGUUGUUUUCAGAAUCUGAAAGCCUUAUUUACAAGCGAAAGAACUAAUCCAGGCAGCAGAUCUUCUUACUCGGAAAGCAAAUGAGUUAGUAUUCUUAGAGAUUCUCAGCCUUUUUCUCCCCUCUCAUCCACACACGUUAUGUUGUAUUUAACUAAAACAUAAUGUUUGAGGUAUUUUUGUGCAUAUCUUUCGCUUAUUUUGCCUUUGAUAUUUUUCUCAAACAAUUUUGGCUUGUCCUAUUUUUCUUGGUUGGAUGAGAGAGUUGUAAGCUAAGCUAUGCCUUGACUGGUAUCGUUCCCAUUUGUUUCAAUUGGACCAUUCUUGUAGGUUGAAUAUUGCCAUUACUUUUUUCAGUUGAACCUCUUUUUCUUUUUUCCACAGCAUCCACAAAGGAGACAUAUCCUAAAGCUUUGAUCAUGAAAGCAUUGUGCAAGAGAUUGGCAUGGUUUAGUUAAGUAUUAGCAAUGAUGUAAAACCAAAACCAGGUAGUCUGUUCUUGAAACAGUUCAAGUGCUUGGAUUCCUAUCUUGAUAAAGUUGUUAAAACAAGCAUCAUUAAUUUUAUAGAUCUACUUCCAGUUCCCCUUGUGGUUUUAUUUGGGGCACAUUACAUGUGAAUUAUUUGCUAAAUUUCGUGAACUAAACCAGGCUAUUGAGAUUCUUUUAAAAGUUUCCUAACUUGGUUUUGUUUUUCAAAACACUGUCCAAAAAAGGAAAAAAAAAGUCAAUUAAAUUUUAAAAGUAAAAAAUUAACUCUUUGAAGCCUUAAAAUUUUUGUUUUUGAUUUUUGGUGUAUGACUUCGAAGUUUUGUAAGAGAACAAGUACAACUUCCAAGUACGAAAUCUCAAGGGUUUUAAAGGCCGGAAUAUAAUUGAUUGUAAUUCAAACCUAUGUUUGGAUUGAGAAUUUUGUGUCAAUUUUGUAAUUCCUAUUACAUUCUCUUUCCAACUUUCUACCUAACCCUCUUUUCUAAGAUUGGUUUAAACAUUUUAUCUAAUCAUUAUAUUCUAGCCUUUCAAAGCCUUUCAAACAAUCUUGAACUGUUGACAAUAGAGAAGUUGUGUGGCUACCAUCGUUUCCAUUAAACUAUUUGAAGCUUCUCAACUUUGUUAGAGCUUAUGAGCUUGUCAUUGGCACAGAGAUGAUCAAUUAGGGGCCUACUUCAUAAUUGAGAUGAAAGAAACUAAACCAUGAAUUGUAGAAAAGAAAGAAAGUGUUAAAAAACGAGGGCUAUUUUGAAAUAUGGUAAAAUGAAUCGAAUAUAUUUAUCAAAUAUAGCAAAAUAUCAUAAUUUAACGAAAAAUUGUGAUAGCUUUCUAUUUGUAUCUACUUGUAUUAAAUAAACAUAAAUAAUAAUUUAUUUUGGUUUAUCAUAAUUUUUCACAUAUAGUUUGUUUUAUCAUAAUUUUUCACAUAUAGUUUGUGAUGUCUUUGCUAUAGUGUAAAUAGUUUGAGAAUUUUUGUCAUUUAAAAAUCAAUAAAUUAUUUAUUUUUCAAAAAAUAAUUAUACAUAUUCUAGCCUUAAACUAUCUCAACUUGAGUGGAAUUAAAAUGAUUUUUUUUAGAAAAUAAAGUAUAUACCUAAAUAUACAAAAAAAGAAAAAAAAAAAAACCAACUACUAGAUUUGAAUCUGUCGUGAAAAUGACUCAACAACCUAAAAUAAAAAAAUCGAGAAAAUAUAAUAUAAAACAAUAAACUAUAAUAUAUAAAUAAAUGAAUAAUAAAAUUAGAAAAUUAAGAAAAUUAUAAAAACUCAAAAUCAUUGAACUUCUCCACUUUCUUCCGAUUUCACUUCAAUAAUAGUAAUAGUGUUCAUUCUUACAAAUCCAUCAAAUGUCACUAUUUAUAGGCAAUUUGACAAGUAUGAGAUGAAUUAUAUAAUCAUAAAACUAAGUAUUUGAUAGAUAAGUGAAAUGUUGGUUGGUUAAAGGGUUGAUAUGUGGCUAUGACCACUAAGCACACUAAUGAAUAUUUAUCAUUAAUAGUAUAAUAGAAUUCAAUUCGAGUCUAACACCAAUAAUAAUAAAACAAACAAAUAAAAUGUACAGUCCCUUAAACUUUUUUAAAUAAUGUUUAUUUGGGCUUAUGGAUUUACCUAAACUAAUUAUUUUAGUAAAUAAUGUAUUAUAAUUAAUAGGAAAAUAAACAUAGAUUUUAGAGCUGUGUUUAUUUCUAAAACUAGGUGGAAAGUUGGUUGAAUGGAAAGAUUGAAGGAAAAGGUGAAUUUUGAUUGUUGUUUUAGUGUGGGAAGUAAAAGAGCAGUGGGGUGCUUAUGUUAUUAUGGAACCUUUGUGAUAAAGUGGAUAUAAAAUCUUUGUUGAUGCAGAUGCUACUAUUCUCAGCAAAGAUAUUUGGCAUUUCAAGAUUUGCAAGCUUUUAUGGUGCUAACCUUUAUCGGGAUAAAAGGUAAAAGUUGCAUGGAACCUGCUUACUUGGCUUCAUGGUUUGUUGCGAACGGAUAAUAGACUUUGCCAAGUUUGGAAUCACCAACACCAUCGUUUGAAGACCUUCCCUUUCUCUGAAUGAAACAAGUUGUUGGCUUGUGGUUAUCAAUAUUUGAUUGAAAAAAAAUGAGAGUUUUUUUCUUUUUUCUUUUGAGAUCACGUACAACACUCAAUUCGUCUUCGUUUCGUCUCAGUUACCAAUUUUCCUUUUCUUCAUCGAGAAAGAAAAAGAACUUUAGGAUAAGUGAGAUGCUUUACAUGUAAGAAAGUUAUUGAUUUAAUUUUAAUUAAAUUAAAAAAUGUUAACUUUCAUAAAUAUAACAAAACAACAAAAUAUUUACCGUUCCUAUAACAAAAUAAAUAGAUUUCAGGUUUGCCAUUCCUUUCCAUCUAUUCCCUCUUGUACAAUUUUUUUUUUAAAUCAUUGUCGCGACGUGAUCGCUACGCGGAGCGGCCGACCUUCCCGUUUAUUUAAUUUUAAUAAAUAGUUUUGGAGUCGCCACCAACCAUAUUAGGGUGUGAUUGGUCACCCAAAAAAAGAAAAAAAAAAUGGUCUGCGUACAUUCAGAGAUUUAAGUUCGGGAGUUAGUUGUGUGUAGGGAAGGUGUUAGCACCCUACAACACCCAAAAAAUGGUUAUCCAAAUUUAUCUUUUAAAAUCAAAUUAUAGAGGUUCACAAAAUAAAAUUUUUAUUUAGGUUUUGUUUAAAUGUCCCAUGUUUAUCAAUUCAUAUCGAAGAAAGUAAAACCUAAGCAUGAAUUGAUAAUUAUGAGUGGCAUAGGAGCCAUUAGAAAAAUUAAGUUUAUUUUUGUUUUAAAAGAUCUUUAUUCACCUUAAGAAUAUUAAGAUACCAAAACUUGAUAUUUUAAUCUCUAUCAUAGGUGUUUGAUGAGAAAUUUCAUGUAUCUAGAAUGAAAACACUACUCAGUCUCAUUUAAAAUAUGAAAUGUGUUUAUUUAAAAACAAUCUAUUAAUUAAAUUUCAAACGGAAAAAUUUCAUGUAUUCAUGGAUUUUAAAUUAUAAAAUCCAUAAAAAACAAUACUUUUUCUCCAAUUUACAUUUUUAUAUUUAAAUUGAAAAAUGAAUAAUAACAAUAACAAAACAUUAUGAAAUUUGAAAAAUAUUUAAAGGGUAAUAUGUUGAGAUAAAAUAAAUGCAUCAUGAUAAUGUAAGCAAUACGCAAAAUGUACAAGAUAAUUAAUUAAUACAGUACAUGCAAGAUAAUUAAUUAAUGCAGAAUGAUGCAAAAUAAUUAAUUAAUUCAAAACAUGUAAAAUAAUUAAUUAAUUUAAAAGGAUGCAAAAUAAUUAAUUAAUUCAAAACGAUGCAACAUGAUUAAUUAAUACAGAAAGGUGAAAAAUAAUUAAUUAAUGCAGAAAUAGGCAAAUUAAUUAAUUAAUUCAGAAAUAUGCAAAAUAAUUAAUUAAUUCAUAAAUAUGCAAAAUAAUUAAUUAUGCUAGAACAGAGUAAUAAAUAAUUACUCGAGGAUGUCAAAUGGGUGAAAUAAUAAUUAACUGCAGAGUGUCAAAGUAGGUUUAAUGCAAGAUGCCAAUAAAUAAUCACGGUAGCCAAUGGAUGUCAAAUAGUUUUAGUGAUUAAUUAAUUAAUACAGAAUACAAAUAAUUUGAAUGAGUAAUUGACAUAAGAGACCAAAUGAGUGCCAAAAUAAUUAACGAUAUGCAAAUAAUUAGCUCACAAUGGAGGAUGUCAAAAAUUAAAACUGUCAAAUACAUCGUGCUAAUUAAUUAACCAUGCAUAAUUAAAAGAGUAUGUCAAAUGAAUAGUUAUUUUCAAAUGCAUAAUUAACAUAUAUGCCAAAUGGAUAAUUAUUAAAGCAAGAUACCAAAUAGAUACACACAUUUAACACAUAAUGUAAAAUGUGUGCUUAGAUAAUUAGAAAGAUAGCAAAUAAUUAAAUCAGUAUGCCAAAUGGGUGUCAAAUAAGUGUUAAAUAAUUAAGACAUCAAUCAAAUAAUUAACACAUCAUUUAAUUAAUUAACCAAAUGAAAUAAUUAACAUAGCACCCAAAUGGAUGCCAAAUAAUUAAUCAAGAACACACUUAUUAAUUAAGGCAGUAGCCAAAUAGAUGUAAAACAACUAAUUAAUCAGCUCAGCAAUCAAAUAGUCAAAAUGUGUGUCAAAUUAAUUACCAUGCAGAACUCAGCAAUCAAAAUACUCCAAUGGCCAAAUGGAUGUCAAAUAAUUAACGAGGAUGCAGAAAAUUAACACAGACCAAAUAAUUAACAUAGCAUUGACAGUAUGCUAAUUAAUUAACCAAAUAAUUAAUGCCAAAUCAGAUAAUUAACUCACAACAUUCAAAUGGGUGCCAAAUAAUUAAACGGAUGCAGAACUCAUCCAUCAAAAUAGUCAAAUGGCCAAAUAGAUGUGCAUAAAUAAGUGUAAUCAGAUGCAAAACAAUAAUUAAUUAGGGCAGCAAUCAAAGAGUCAAAUGGGUGCCAAAUAAUUCAAAUGAUGCAAAUAAUUAAAAGAUGUGAAAUGAGUGCCCAAUGAUUAACACACCAGCUAAUUAAUGAGUGAUUUAAAUGAAUAAUUAAGACAGCACCCAGAUGGGUGCCAAAUAAUUAAGCAAGUAUCAUCAAACAUGAAUAAUAAUAAAAAAAAGAACUUACAAGGUCUGCCUUAAAUGCAAAAUGUUCUGGGUUGAUCCUCCUCACCUCUUCCAAAAAAAAAAAAAUCUUUUACGUGUCCCUCUUCUCUACCAAAUAAUUCUCCCCCCAUUGAAUCUUCUCAUUCUCUUUUUCUAGGGAAAUGUCUUCUUUUUUAGAUAGAAGUGAAGUAGGUUUAGAUAGUGAAAUGGAGUACAGAGAAAUGUGGAAGAGUGGGAGAACGUGAGAGAUUGGGGAAGAAGGUGGAAGAGUGGGAGAACGUGAGAGAUUGGGAGAAAGUAGGAGGGUUGUGACUCAGGAAAACAGGGGAUGGUUGAGAAAAAUAGGGAGAAGAAAAAAAAAAUCUUUACUUUUAAAUAUGUUUUUAUUUUUGUUUUUGUUUUAAAACAUAAAUUUAAAAAUUAAGAUUUAAAUUUUAGAAUUUAAAUUUAAAUUCAAAUUCAAAUUCUUUAAAAAAAAUAAUAAAUUAAUUAAUGAAAAAAAUAAAAAGGCAGGACAAAAUACGGUAUCUACAAUCAUGAUCUUUGUUUACAAUCCAUUAUAAAUUUUGAAUUUUUUUUUCAAAGUGUUAUUUGGUUCAAGAUUGUGCACAAAGUAUAAGAUCGUGUACCAAAUAUAAUAUAUAUUGGUACACAAACUUGAACAAAAAACGUUGGGAUAUUAGUAUUUAGAUUUAGCUACAACCAAAUCUAAAUCUUGAAAAAAACUAUUUGGAUAUUAGUACACGAUCGUUUAGAUUUGGAUAGUGUAGUCAAAUCUAAAUGAUUGUGUAACGAAGAAUCUACCCAAGUUUAAACGAUCGUAUAGCCAAAUCUAAACGAUCGUGUACCAAAAAAAUCUUGAAAAAAAAUCGUUAAGAUAAUGGUACACAAUCGUUUAGAUUUGGGUAGUCAAAUCUAAACGAUCAUAUAGACAAAUCUAAAUGAUCUUGCUAAGAUCAUAUACCAAAUAUAUUAUGCGCGUGAGUGCCAAACGAAUCGCGUGUUGACGGAGGCGUUUUUGGUAUUUUUUUAGUGUAGACUUGUGGGCUUUUUUCGUUUUCAAAAUUGUUCUAUAUAUAAUAAAUAUUUUUCCGCUUUGUUAUAUUUUUUUAAAAAAACCAUUAAAAAUAUAAUUAAUUAAUUUAAAUUAAUAAUUAAUUAUAUCAUAUUUAAUUAAUAUUUCAUUUAUAUCUUUGUUGACCAAAAAAUUUCAACCAAUUAAAUUAUGCCAUGUCAUCACAACAAACAUUGUAAUAAUUAUAAUUUGAUUGAGUUUGUGCAAUUAAAUUUUCUCAUACCCAACCCAAUUCAGGCCCUAGAUAUAAAAAUUGGGCCAAACGAGAAUAAUGGGCCCAACCCCAAGUUCAGACGAUAAAUAGACCCGAGCUCAAGCCCAAUAGACAAAAUGGACCCAAGCCUAAAUUCAACAGUCAAAUGGGCUCAAGCCCAUCUGAAGCCCAUGAAAAUUCUCUAUAAAUAGAUACAUUUCCAUUCAUUUUGAAGAUCUUUGGUUGAAAGGAGAAUUGAAGCUCUGAAUAAUUGAAGACUUAAACUUCUAAAAAGCUCUCAACACAUGCAAGUUCUUUUCAGCCUCGAGAUCAAUAUGUUCUGAAAGAUUGAAGACUAAACUUUCCUAAGAUUCCAGAAGAUUGAACCUCAAAUUGAUUUGCAACUACAACUUCUUGAAGACCGAAGAUCAAGAAGUUAUAAGUUUUAAUUUGUACUCAAGAGAAAGCAUCAAAUGAGUAAAUAUUAAAGAUUGUAUCCACAACACCAUAUAAAGCAAUAUACAAAGUUUAAUUCUACGAAUCAAACUUCUUCGGAAAUCUUGUGUGAACAAUCAUAUUUAAAUGAAUCUCUCUCAUAUAAUCUAUAGUUUGAAGGGGUUUUUUCAAAUAUACAAUAAAGCGGCAAAAUAUUUACACUAUAUAGAACACUUUCGAAAAUAGGGAAAGACCACAUGCCCACAAUGAAAAAUAACAAAAAUGCCCUCGUCAACACGUAAUUAAUUUGGCACUAACAAGAUCGUUUAGAUUUAGCUACACGAUCGUUUUGAUUUGGCAACCCAAAUCUAAACGAUUUUUUUCAAGAUUCAUUUGCUUGACGAUUGUUUAGAUUUUGGUAGUCAAAUCUAAACUAUUUUUUUCAAGAUUCUUUGGUAACGAUCGUUUAGAUUUGACUACACGAUUAUUUAGAUUUGUAUUACACCAUCGUUUAGAUUUGGCUACCCAAUUCUAGAUGCUUUUUUUCAAGAUUCUUUGGUACACAAUUGUUUAGAUUUGGUAAUUUGGCUACCAAAUUUAAACAAUUUUUUUCAUGAUUCUUUGGUACACGGUCGUUUUGAUUUGGCUACCUAAAUCAAAAUAAUUGUGUUUUAAGCUCCAACAAUUUUUCAAGAUAUUUUAUAUUUGGUACACGAUCAAGAUCUUGAACCAAAUAAUACACGAUCGUUUAGAUUUAUGAUUGAUUGAAAAAAAAAAUAAUUAUUUCAAAAGAAAAAUGAGAGAAGAUAAGAAAAGAAAGAUGAUGGAAAGGAAAGAAAAUAGCAAAAGAAGAAGAGAAAAAAGACGAUGAAAAGGAAGGGUACACCUAAAAUAAUUUUAAAAAAUGGUCAGAUUCAUGAAUUUUUUUAUUUUGUUACACGAAUCGUAAAUAUUUUGUCGGUUUGUUAUAUUUAUGAAAAUUAAACUAGUUUUAAUAUGAAUCUAAUUCAUAUUAAAUUAAUAUUUGAACUCAUUCAAAUAUUUUAUUCUUCCAUAAAUUAAUUUUGAAUCAUAUCCAAACUAAAUUUAUAUAAUAAAAUUUAAUUAAAAUAUAAACUUUAUAUUAUAUUAAUUUUCUAAGUAAAUUUGAACAUCAAAUUAAAUCCUAUAUAUAUUAACCUCAUUACCCUUUGCAAGCUAGGAAUGAGAGACCCAAUAGACCUACAAAUCAUAAGGUCAAACGAUAUGAGAUUAAUUGGCUAAACUCGUUAACCACAUUAAUCAAUAUUCAUUAGCUGCAUGCACACUCCACUAAAGAUUCAUGGGUGAACUCUUCUCACUGUAGAUAUAUUUCUAUGUCUAUUGAUAUAGACUAAUAACAGUAAGUUAUUCAUUCGCAAGUGUCUAUAACACCACUUCGGUCAAAUUAACGUUGUACCCCUAUGUUACUUAUAGGCCUUAAAUAACAAUGCUCCUCUUACGAACAACCUGUUUAUGGUUCAACUAAUAAACAAAAACCUCUCUCGUGCCAUAGAGAGAGUAGGACUCUUGGUUUAAGUUCCAGAAACACCAUGUAAGGGAAAAUUCAUUUACUUACCCUAAAAACAGGAAGGAGUAAAUUUCCAUCUUGUGUGAUUAUGUUAUCAGAUCCCUUUUCGAUCUUGUCUCUCCAAUAUGAUAAACUUAUCGAGUCUGUAAUCUGAUCACUCUCACAUGUACAAAUCAAAGGACAAUCCAUCCUAGACAAGAGUUUAUAAUACACUCAGGAUUAAGACUAAGUUACCUAAGUCAUCCUAGUGAAAUAGAAACCUAACUAGCUAACGAAGUUACAUUUAGUGGUUACUAUUCCGUGAUCGGUCUUACGCAAACUCAUUGAAUAAGAUACCCUCACUCGCAUGUCACCUACACAAACGCGUUGGAUCAUUGUGUAUUUAUAUCAAAUACAAAGAGUGCCCUAUCCAUAGUGUUACCAGAAUAAGAUACACAACUUUAUCCUUAUACUAUAAACCCUUUAAGUUGUAUCUCAAACAUUGAUCCAUGUAUGUGUCUUUAGAUACAAUUCAAGACUCAUCAAACAACUUAGGAUGUUAGUUUAUUGGAUUAAGGUUAUUAAGACAAAACUAAUAAUUUAAUCAAUAACAUAUUAUGUAAAAUAAUAAUAAUAACACUUUAUUAACAACUGUCAAUGGAUUAUAUUUACUAUCUAAUAGUUUUAGGACAUAAAACCCAACAUGUUGAACCUUUCUUGGGUGGUUGUCGGUGAUUUCAACGAAAUUUUGGCAGACGAAGAGAAAAAUGGAAGGCAUCUUAAGAGUCAAAAGUAUUUAGAUGUUUUCUGGAGAACUCUGAGCAUUUGCCAUUUUAUGGACCUGGGCUAUGAGUGGGACAAGUUCUCUUGGAAAAGGAAGAUUAAGGGGAAAAUUAUGGCCAAAGAGAGGCUCAAUAGGUUCUCGUGGCAAACAAUGAAAUGAUUUUGUUAGUUUGUUUGUCCAUCAUCUUAGCUACCACAAUUCUGAACAUCGCCCAAUUCUUCUUAAUGUUGUCCUAAAGGUGAGAUGGAAAGUGAGGCCAUAAAAAGUCAAAAGCAGCAAGUUUGGUGAAUGUUAGAUAAACAUUAAAGAUUGUAGAAGUAUCCGUGAGUUUUUCUGGAGGUUUAUCAAGAGUACUAAGGGCACAAUUAUCACAAUUAAGAUUCAAAAAUGCAUUAGAAGAAUUGUGAUGCUCCCACCGCGAACAAUUCCUUAUGUUUCAGGUGUGGACGUGACUUGGACAACUUCAACGAGUGAAGCACCAUAACACCCAGACUUAAACUUAGGCUUUAACUUUUACUUAGAGAGAUCGUUCUUAGUGAUAUAAAAAUACAACACAUCAAAAAUUGGAAGAGUCGAACAACUUUAUUAAGCUUAACAAACUUGAUACAAAUACAAGACAAUCAUUCACUAAAAAUUAAAACUAAAACUAAACUCCUAAACUUAAACUUCAACGCCUUGUACAACUCUUAUUGUCUGGCAUAAGGCAGCGGUUUGCCUUCUCCAUGCGGCCUCCUUGCUUCGCUUACCUGAGAAAGGAGAACUUAAAACGUAAGCCUAAUGCUUAGUGAGUGACAUUUUAAGGAAACGUUUUUUUAAGAAUACAAGCACAUGGAUAAAAUCAUCUUACAAGAACAACUCCUCAGUGCCUUAACAUGCGCGAAGAACAAUAAACACCAUAUUAGCCUCUACUUAUUCCUUUCGUUUGAACGUUGAACUUCCACAACACUAGUUGAUUUGGUUUCAUUUCAUGCUUAGGUUCUCUCAAGAAGUUUAUUCGAAGAUUGUCAUUACUAACUCUAAAAGUAACAACUAUCAGAUGACGAACUAGGAUUAUGUGAUAAAAUGUGCAUUUUCUGUCAUGCAAGUUUUCCUCUCUAUCGUCCAAGUAUAAGCUAAGAGAGGUUACCUGGUAAGUCCAUGAUCGAACAUAGAGAAUUUCAAUCUCCUAACUUAUCUAAUUGCGUGCAAAAUCAUGCGGUAUAAACUGUGGAGUGAAAGAUGAAUAAUCCUAGCUUUUUACAUUAUGGUGCUUGGCAGUGCAAGGUGAACGAUGUUCUUCAACAUAGGUAAGGUAGAAUGACUGAUGUUUCAGCACUUAGAGGAGAUGUAAGCAUCUAUAAAUAGUGAAUCAAUGUGAACACCUCUCAGUGUUAUAACAUACUUGCUCACCUCUCGGGAUGCAAAUACACGAGUUAAAUGACGUGUUAUAUCUAAUUAUCAUGAAUGUAGUGACAAUAGCUACUCCUUAAUUAAGGUAUACACUUCUUAGUGCUUUUUACCACACAAAUUGACCUCUCAGUAAUGUAUGAUGGAGACGAGUUUAACAACAAGAAUGCAUUGCUGCAUUUUCUUCACCACUUGCUUAGCUAAGAGUGGUCUCACCUAUUUGAUGAUGACGACUUCAAAUGAAAAUUGUUAAGAUACUUAAACUUAACUGAACAAAACUCUUACUACACUCACUAUAACUUUCUAAGUAACAAAGAUCUCAUUCAAUGUUGUCUAACUAUUUAAUCAUACAUAUAUAGAAUGAAAAAGAUAGAUGGGGAAUGGAAUAAGAAAUGCAUUGCUUUCAUAUAUAAUAUUUUAGACCUUUCGGUCAUAACAUUUUGUUUAUAAAGCAUUACAAUAUAAAAGCACAAAAGUGAAAAUACAAUAGAGAUGUAACGCUACAGAGUUUGAUCUCUCAUUUUCUUUGGCUCUGAUUUCUACCUAUAUGUGAAGGGGGUUAAUGAAAGUGGUGAAUAUCUAUCUCUCUUUUUGUGGCUUUAAGCUCUCACCUGGAGAAAAUGGAGAAUGUAAAGAACUUGCUUUUUCGGCCAACUGUGCACACGCUAAAAAAGUGGGAAACUGUUUAUAUACUUGAAGUGGCGCUGACAAGCUGAUACGCGCCAUUAAUGCUUCUGAAAAAUUAUAGUUAUGUUGCGCCGCCAGCCCCAGUUGUUCUUUUCUAACAUUCCCACCAACCUCUUCUGUUUGCUAGCGGCUUGAUCGCCUAUCAUUUGUUUCCUCACAUUGUAGAGGUCUCUAGAAUCUCCUUGCGCACCAUGUUCUCUUCGCUUAGCUUCACUCUUAUUUGCUUAAUAAUCUACGAUAAUAUUACUAAAAGAGGAUUAAACAUGUAUGUAGUUCUUUUGCAGUAAACUUUUCGUAGAGUAAUUAAAUUGCCUACUUAUUCUCUUUAUUUUCUCAUAUUUUCAUGUGGUAUGACUUCAUUAUGUUACUUAAGAAGCUAUAUUAACUUUUAUCUCUACAAGUUAUCAAACACAUAGGCCAUUGUGAUGAUUCUCAUUUUACCACCAGAAUUUUUGUAGACCCUCAUUCAAUUCCAGUUGCUUAAGUAGUUAGCUCAAAUGUGGACCUCUCAACGCAUCUAGCCACCUUCUUGUCAUGCGGACCACUCAACGCAUAAUUGCCUUAACUCUCAUAUGUACAUAACAACUAGCUCAUGAUAGGAAUAAAGCUAAUGGUUUAUUCACAUACAAGCAACAUAAAACUCAUACUUUAACUUGCAACUUUCAAAUGGUCAUGCUUUUCAUUUAAAACAUAAACAAGAUUAUAACUUAUAUUAUACUGUACAUAACAUAACAGGACUUUGAAAGAAAUGCUUUAAAAAUGUAUGUUCUUUUCUUUGGAAGGGACACGAAAUCAAACGUUUCCUCCUAAUUCCUUCUGAACGCCCAACUUAUCUUAAGUUUUCCUCUCCUCGCCUGAUAUUCUUUUGGCAAAGCCUUAACACUUAGAACUUCCUUCUAACUUCUUUUAAACUCACAAGGACCCUUUAUAUUAAUCCUAAACUGAAUUAGUCAUCCUUAAACUCGUCUUAGCUUGCAAACUCCUACUUAGUGCCUUACACAUAAUAGUUUAGUAUCCCUUUUAAUCUGUGCUUAACUUAAACUUAACACGUUUUUAGCUGAUUAAUCAUUUAGGUCUAACAUUUAAUUGGCUUCUCCUCCCCUAGCUCGUCACUUGAUAAUUGGUUAAGUGUUUGUUGUUGCCUUUCCUUCUCGCGUAAUCUUGUCUUAGUCUUCAUUGCCUAACUUCAUUACCCGUACUAACCUUCCUCUUGUCGCUUAGCCAUAAUGCUUACUUCUUCAAAAUGCUUAAUUCUUACACAAAAAAUUUCAACUUCCUUCCUUAUAAAAAUCCUUUGGUAUAACCCCUCCACUUCAGAAUGCGAGCUUCACAAGAAUAACUAAUUGGAACAGGAAUAAAGUCAAUGAGGGCUUGAAAGUGUAAAUUGAGAGAAAGACUGAAAAGCUUAAAGCUCUUGAUCAGAGUGAUUUGAAAGUGGCAGAUCAUGUGAUUGAGAAGUGGAAAAGGAGAUCAGAAGUUGGUUGAAGAUGACCAAUACUGAACGAUUAGAUCUUGAGAAAAUUGGCUCAAUUGGCGAGAUAGAAACACGAAAUGGUUUCAUUCUCAGGCAAAUCAGAAGAGAAAAAUAAAUAAAAUUGAGAGGUUAUACAACAUUGAUUGUAGCUAAAUUGAUGAAGAUGAAGCAAUUAGUCACAAUGUGAUCAUUUAUUUCUCGAUUAUUUUCAAAUAUUAGAGACCUAAUAUAGAGGAAAUUGAUAAAAUCUUGGAAGGUGUCAAAUAAAAAAUCUCUCCUCAACAAAGUCAGUGGCUAGAUGCUACUUUUACUAAAACUGAAGUUGAAAAUGCUCUAAAAGAUAUGCAUCCAACAAAAGCUCUAGAUCCUAAUGAAGCUCAUGCAAUCUUGUUCCAGCAUCAUUAUAAUAUAUAAUGGGGGAUGUGAUCACUUGUAGAAAUACAAGUUAUUAUAGUCUUUUAGAUAAAAUAUUGAGACCAAAAUGCACAAUAAGUGUGUCGAAACGCGUAGCUUAUGUUGUAAAUUGAUAAAUAUUUAGAAAUACACUUUACGUAAGCUUCCAUGUCUGUUUUAUCGUGUUUUCAGUGUCUUAUUGUAGGAUUAUGAAUAAAAGAAGAAGCUAGCAAAUUGUAGAGGAACUUGCCCAAAGACUACGCGAGAAGAGGUUCUCUAGAAGACAAAAAUGGUAGAUGGAGUUGAUGUGACUUGACACAAGCACUUUUGGCACUCAUAUGCCCGGACGAUUAAAUUUUUCACCUAAAUUUGCCUAUAAAAAGGACUCCAUUUCAAAGAGCCUGAAUAGGCCGAACCUUAGAGAGUGGUGGAAAGAAUUAGUCUUUCCACCCUUUAUAAAGUAUUUCUUCCUCUUCUCCGGUUAGUCUAAGUGAAGAAGAUCUCAUUCCCAUCUCCUCUAACUUGUAAUGUCAUUUCUAUUCUUUUCGUUUUGUAUUUUAUUGUAAUGUAUUCUAUUCAUAUUGUAUAGUGGCCGAAGACCUUUAUUCUUUAAUACAUUGCAUAUUUAUAUCUUUCAAUCCAUCACCUCAUUAUUGUUCAUCUGUCCCUAUGUUAUUUGUAGUUUAAGAUUUAUGAUAGAUUCUUGAUAAGAAGACUAACUUAUAUUUCUUAUCGGAUUAGUUGAGCUAUAAUCAUCACCUGACCAAUGUGUAUCGUUAACUACCUGAGAGGGAAAGUAGAACAUAUGUAGAUAUUUGGUGUCGAGAGGUUGUCACCCUUAAAAGAGAAGCUCUAUAAGUCUUGUAAGUGAAACCUUCUAGGUAUACAUUGCUUAAAUCAACUUAGUCAUUUAUAUCUUGAGUGGUGAGCAAGUAUUAGGUUUAAAGACACAGAGAGUCUACUUUUCUUUCACUCUUUCUUUUAUACAAGUUAGUUCAUAAUUCCAUCUCACAUCCAUCAUUGACUCCCCAUUACCGAUUCUCUAAUGUAGAUAAGUAGAUAAGUAGAUAUAGUUUAAAGUGACAUUCUUUCAUACUGUAUAGUUAUUCUUUUAUACUGCCCAUUUUCAAUCCAUUACUUCUUUAUUAUUCAUCUAUCAAUGUGUUAUUUGUAGUUUAUGAUAUUUGAUAGAUUCUUGAUAAGAAGCCUAACUUAUAUCUCUUAUCGUGUUAGUUAAGCUAUAAUCAUCACCUGACCAGUAUGUACCACUAACUACCCGAUAGGGCAAGUAGUAAAGAUAUGACUAACGCGCGUAAGGAGUUUGGAGACAAACUUCACCUUAGCAAAAAAACUUCUAUCAUUUGUGUCUCGAAAGGAGAACAAAGCGUGGGUAUUUGGCACCGAGAGGUUAUCACCCUUAAAUGAGAAGCUCUAAGUCUUGUAUAUGAAAUCUUCUAGAUUUAUCUUGCUUAACGAAACUUAGUCAUUUGCAUCCUGAUAGGUGAGCUCGUGUGACGUUUAAAGGCACAGAGAGAUGCUUGCCUUAAUCAUAAGCUAGUUAACUGAGCUUUAUUGCAUCAAGGUUACCACAUGGCUUAAUCGUCUAGUAAUGCAUAGACACCUUCCUUCACUCUUUCUUUAAUACAAGUUAGUUCACAUUUUCAUCUCACAUCCAUCAUACUUCCCCUUUACAGAUUCUCUAGUGUAUAUAAGUAAAUAAGUAAAUAAAGUUUAAGCUUACACUCUUUUACACUGUAUAUGUGAUUCUUUUAUACCACUUGAAUGAAAAGUAGACUCUAGAAUUAGGCUUUGAUAUCAAUUCUCUGGGUUCGAGCUUAUCUUACCCAGGAAACAUAUUGUUUCACUUAUACUUGGGCAAGCAAUAGGAAAACAUGUACUCAACGAGAACUUAGUACUUACAUAACGAAAAGAUACAUAGUGAGCAUCUAGCAUGCAAUGACCAUGAUCAAUGACUCAUCAUAUAGAAUUAGAUAUAUGCACACAAGAUAACUAUUACACCAUUCUCUAAGUCCGAAGUUAACUCCAACCAAGUAAAGUUUUUGGCGCCAUUGAGUUAGCUACAAAUAGUCUCAAAUAACCUCAAAAGUUGUAGGGUGUCAUGCCUCAUUGACCAUUAUGGGACUUAGGAUGAAGAGUUGAUCAGAGUGUGUUUCAUCGCAUCGGAUGCUAAAAGCAUUCUUAAUAUCAUGUUAGGUUCCCCCACUUUUGAUAAUGCUAUUUAUUAUGGGUUUGAUCUCAAAGGCUUCUUUUCGGUCAAGAGUGCUUACCAUUUGGCUACUAGUCUCAACGAGCCUAAAGAGGCUUUGGUUUUGGAUGAGUUUAAUAUGAAAAAGUGUUGGAACGCUUAUGGAAGACUAAGGUCUUUCCUAAAGUGAAGAUUUGUAUGUGGCAACUGUUAAAUGAUGUUAUCCCUUCAAAGGGCUCAACUUCGAAAGAAUGGAAUCGAGAUAGGCACUUUUUGAAUUUUCUGUAUAAUUGAGAAGGAGUCUACCAUCCAUCUCUUUUUCACAUUGCUAGUUUGUUAAAUAAACAUGGUCCUAUUUUUCUUCCUUAUUUAUGUUUGCCUCUUUUCUUGUGUAGGGACAGUUUAAUAAGUUAAAGUUAUGAGAUUGGUUAGUUGUAAAGCUAUUUAGGAGUUUGGUACCACUAUUUUGAUUUAGUCGUGUAGAAACUAAUGGAAUGCCACGAGUUCUAUCCCUCAUGUAUUGAAAGUUGUGUUGUGCAGGCAUCUCGUCUGAUUGGUCGUGUCACUUUUGAGGUCACUUGUACAGGGCAGUUUGAUAUUACUCUUUUAGUGAAGAGUUAGGUGAUUCAUAAUGAUUGGAAGCCUCUGUUAGCUGUUGAAAAUUGAAUGUUGCUGUUGCGUGGUGCGAGAAGUCUAGUUUUGGUGGCCUGGGCUAGAUCGUUCGUGACUCCUCAACUUUGAUUAGGUUGAAUUUUCAGUGGAUACAUCAAUGGUGGAAGGUCAAAGUUUUAGAGAUAAAAGCCAUUGAGAAGGGCUUGUGGGUGCUUUAUUCUAAAUUUGGGUCUCUUUUGAAUUGGGCUUCUUUGCUAGUGGUGGAAUCAAACUCUAUUGAAGUCGUUGGUGCUUUGUUGAAUCAUGAUAGGGAUCUGUCUGAGAUAAAGACAUUAGCUUGUAAGGUGGUGUCUUUGAUUGUGUGCCUUGAGACCGUUUUCUUUUCUAAUUAUCCUUAUAUUUGUAAUAUGGUUGCACACUUGUUGGUCAAGUUGGUGCUUUUGUCGCUUUUGUCCUUUUUUGGGCUCAUGUUUGUCUUCCUCUUUCUUGGAAGGCUUUAAGAAGUGUUUUUGAAAGGAUGAUAUCCUCGAUGACAUCUCCUAGUGCAUGAAGAUUUUUUUGGAUUUGUAGUUGUGUUAGUCUGUUGACGGUGUUAUGUUUUCUCAAAAAACAAAUAAUAAUAUAAAUAAAUAAAUAAACAUAGGCACUCAUUUGAAGGAACUCAUAUUACUUCAUAUUGAAAAUAUAAACUUGGGACUAUCUAAUUGAAUGUUAAUGUUAGAACAUAUUUCCUAAAAUACAUCAACUCUCCCAAUAUUUUCUGAUUUUGAUUAACAAAAACUAUACACAUCAACAAUAAAUUUGUUGUUUAAAAAAGUUCUUCGUUCUCAUCAACAAUGAAAUGAUAAAUUAGAGGUGUAAGUCCAACCUGAAUAACCUGGAAAACCCGGACUACCCAACCUAUAUUAUAUGGGUUGGGUUGGGUUGGGUCUCAAGUUGGGAUUGAAAAAUUCGGUUCAAGUUAGGAGUAUUUUGUUGAACAAUCGUGUAGGAAGUUAAAUGAUCGUAUAGAAAGUUAUCUGAUUGUGUAAGAAGUAAACAAUCGUUUGAAGAUAGAAAACUAAACAAUUACGUAAGAAUGUAAACGAUUGUUUAAAGACUAAACGAUCGGAGUUGGAAAUGAAAAAUAAAACAACCCAACCCAACCCAACUCAAUCCAUAUUUUACUAGUUGUGUUAGGAUGGGUUGGGAAAUUAAUUUGGGUUAUUUUGGUUGCCAACCCAACUAACUCAAAAAUAUGGGUUGGGUUGAGAAUACACCCCUAUAAUAAAUGACAAAAGUAGAUCAUAUAAUUAACAAAUUGUGAAUUAAGAAAUUACAUACUUAUUUGGAAGGAGUAUCUAAAUGCUUAACAAAUAAUUUUGAAGAGUAAGAAAUGGAAUAUUUAGCAUUUGAAAAGUUGUUAAUCUAAGCACAAUUAAGUGAACAAAGACAUCAUAAACCAUCUCAAAGAUUGAUGAUUCGAUCAUUCAUUUCUAUCCUUAUUAAAAGGAACAUUUUCAAAUAUGACAAAAUAAACUAAAAUAUGAUAGAACUAAGUCAUGCACAGCGGAAAAAGAAUCGAAUUUCUACCAUAAUUGCCACAAUUAACAUAUAACCAUAAACUAAUCAAAUUAGGGUUUUAAGAAAUAUUACCUUUGAAGCUUUCAAAAGGUUUGAUAUCUUCUUACCAAUUCUAACCGAGACCACCACUAGUACUCAACUGCUAUCCUCUAGACAAAGAACCGGGUUGUGGGACCCAAUUUUGGUGUAGAAAGUAAUGGAGAUAAAAUGGGAUUGGAAGUUUUUUUUUUUUCUUUUGUUGAGAUGAUGAAAAUGAUAAAAGAGGCAAAAGAUUUUCAACAUUUGAAAACACCUCUAUUUAUAACCUAAUUACAUGCAAAAAUGCAUGCAAUUCAUUUGCGAAAUCUCAACACCUAAUGUUCCGCUAACAAUUAGUGGAACUUAGUGGGCUAGGUGUCUAUAUCUCAUAUAGCCACAUAUCCCACUAAGAGUUAGUGGGAUUAUCCAACAAAAUGUUGGAUUUUCCCACUAACUUAGUCCAAGGGUAAAAUGGUCAUUAGAUAUUUCUAGUCAAAAGUCAAACUUUGACUUUUCUUAGUCAAAAGUCAAUAUUUUGACUUUUUACCAUUUUGUCCGUCUUGACUAAUUCCAACCUCCCGAGCAUGAAUCCGCAUUCAUUUUUCCAAAAUUCAAAUCACAUUUGAAUAUAAGGCCGGUCAAAGUUUGACUUUUCAAAGUCAAAAGUCAACAUUUUGACUUUUUACUAUUUUUGACCAAUUCCAUCAAUUCCGAGCUUCUUAGUAUGAAUCCGCAUUCAUACUUAUAGUAUGUAAAACAUAAAAGCUCUAUUUCUAAUUAGAAGACCGACGACUAUAUCACUAUAUUUGUCGGUUUCCCUUUCUUCUCCCAAUUCGAACAAUUCGACUUAUUUCAUCACACUGUUCUAAGUUUAAUCCAUAUGAGCUAGCAGAGGAACCUAAUGGACCUAUAGAUCAUGGGCUCCAACGAUUCAAGAUUAACUAGCUAAACUCUUUUAAACCGAGUUAAUUAACAUUCGUUAACUAACGGGUCAUUCCACUAAAGUCCCGUAGUUGCACUCCCCUCACUAUAGAUAUAUUUGUGUCCAUUUGAUAAAACCAUAAUCAGUAAGUUAAUCCUUCACAGGUUGCUCGUAACCUUGGCUGGGUCAAAAUACCGUUUUACCCCCAAGAUUACAUCUUGCUCCUUAAGUCCCACUAAUCCACUAUUGAACAAUUGGUUUAAGGUUCAACCUAUAAACUUAAUCCCUCUCGGGCCAAUGAGAGGGUGGGGCCCCUUGUUCAAGACUUGGAUUCAGUGCUUAAGAGAGCAACCUAUCUACUAACCCUAAAGCGGGUAGGAGUGAAUUCCAUCUUGUACCCUAUGUUCCCAGCUAUCCACCCGAUCUUACCCCUGAAAUGGGAGGCUUAUUGGGCCAACGCUGAUGAGCUGCCCUCACCUAUGCAGAUCUAAGGAUAAUCUCGUGUGAACAGGAGUUCAUAGUUAACUCAGGAUUAAGACUAAGUUACCUAGGUCAUCAAUAAUUGAGAUAGUCAGUUUUAAACAGUAAACGGUGUUAUAAAGUAAAAAAGACUAAUUCAUGGUUUAGUCUUAUGUAAACAUUUUACAUAGGAUGCCCCCACUUUUCAUGUCUCUACAUGAACGAUUAGGAUCACCUCGUUUGUACUACAAAGUGAGCCGCAUCCAUAGUUUCUCUAAAUAAGGCGCCCAACCUUUAUUUCAUAUACUAUAGACUAUUUAGGCUAUAUACUCGAACUUGAUCCACGUUUAUGUUUACACAUAAAGUUCAAGUUUAUUCAAAAAUAGCCUUGAAACUUGAUUUAUUGGAUUUAAGAUUAUAAUAUUUAAUUUCUCAAUAACAACUUUAUUGAACAGAAUAUGAUUUACAAACUACGAGUUUUAGGACAAAAAAUUCCAACAAAAUAUUCACAAAACAUAGCAUUUUAUCCGUGUGUAUCAGUGAUGUUGAUGUUUAUCAGUGGUAAAAUCUAAAAUUUUACUAUAUUUUGUAAAUAUUUUUAGCAGUUUCGUCAUCUAAAAUAAGUUUCCAAUAAAAGAAGAAUCACGUGAAAAUUUAUUUUGGAAUGAACAAAAGUUACUAGUAUGUACACAUUUUCACAAGAUUUUUUUUUCUAAUUUACUCAAUUUUAACUUUUAAGCUAAUACUGAAGCAAAAAAACAAAAAACAAAAAACAAAGUUAGAGUGUCUUUAUACAAAUUCAAACUAGGGAUAGUUACAAAUUUAGCAAUUAAAUUCAAAAUAAUUAAGUAUACGCAAAAUUUUAAAAAGUUUGUCAAAUUCUAUCAAUAAUAUAAGUCUAUCACCGAUAGACCAUGUUAUACAUAUUGAUCUAUCAUUGAUAGACUAUACAAAGUUUAUCAACGAUACAAGUUUAUCGGUGAUAGUUUUACUAUAUUUAUAAUUUUUUAAAAAUGUUGCUAUAUCUUUGUUAUUCCUAAAAUGUCCUCCAGUUUCCCUUGAAAGAAUGACUAAGAAAAUACGUCAUAUUUACAAUUAAUGAAUUAAUUGACUUGGCCCAGCCCAAUCAGAAACCCUAGGUGGCGCAAAAGGAAAUGCUUCAUUGAGACCGCAUAUUCAGCCUCACUAUUACUUUUCACCCGCACUCUGUUUCCUCCUCACCCGCACUCUGUUUCCUCCUCACCCGCACUCUGUUUCGCUUGUUGUACUUCUCUUUUCUGGUAGCUCAAGGGAAACUCUCUCUUCCUUUGCUGUCCCUUCAUCGUCUCUCAGCUUCUUCUUUCCUGUAACAACUCUCUCUCUCUACGCUUCAUUUCCUUGCAAUUGUGUCUAUUUUCCUUCACUCGUGCUUUCAUUUAGGUUUUGUGCGUUUGAGAUCUGUUUUCUUAGUCUUUUAUAUUCGAUGAGUUUGUUUUAGAUCUGUUUUUGUUGUUGCUGGUAUUCGAUAUAUUAAAUGGUUUAAUCAAUUGUUGCGAUGUGUACUUAGAUUAUGAGAUUUAAGUUGACGAGUAAGCUACGAAGAAGCUUUAUGUUGAAGAUUAUUGCUAAAUUACUUUCUACUAUUUGAUCUGAUUAUUCCCUCGUUUAACAGUGAUAUAUUAAUUUUUUCUGGCAGUUCAUUGUUUCUAAAUCUUGGACAUCAGGAAAUUUGAAGACUUGUCACGAUGGUUAGUGUGCUCUUCUCUUGACGAUGAUAAUGUUUGGGAUCUGAAAAGUUCUUUAAUAAUCUUUAAUUUUUUGUGUGUUCAGGUGAAGUUUACAGCCGAGGAGCUUCGUAGGAUUAUGGACUAUAAGCAUAACAUUCGUAAUAUGUCUGUUAUUGCUCACGUCGAUCAUGGUAAAAUUUUUAACAUGGGCUGAUUUUUUAGGGUUAUCAAUGUUGGAAGAAAUAAAAAUCUUUCUGUUGGACAUUAAUUAUAAAGAUGCGCACCAAUUUAAGUUCACUUCCGCACUAAGUUUUUGUUAGCUUAAUGAUGCUUCUAGUUGAGGCAGGCCUAUUUGAACUAAAUUUUUUUUGCUGAUAUAUUGGAUCUUUUUGGAAAGAAACAUCAAGAAAUUUAACGAUCAGGAAACUCAUGUAGACUACUUUAUGGCUAUAUUUGUGGUGUUCACUCAUGAUAUCGUAUGCUUGAUUGUUAUAUACUCGCUGAUCUAUGAAACCGAGAGGAUUUUUCUAUUUUUAUGGGUGACUUCCUCUUAGCUUGGCUUUCUUCUCUCUGCAAUUCCAUACAUGUUUCCUCUAAAAAACUAUUGCUUGAGCUUAUAUUUUCUCAUUGAUCUAAAUCAUUCGUAUUGACAGUAAAAGGAACAUUUUAUGUUUCUUACGAACUAAUCUUAAAUUGUUACUAUGCAUCUAUUUUAACCCUUAUUUGAUCACCCCCUUUUUCCUUCUAUUUCAGGAAAGUCGACACUUACAGAUUCUCUUGUGGCUGCCGCGGGUAUCAUUGCACAAGAAGUUGCCGGUGAUGUACGAAUGACAGAUACUCGCCAAGAUGAGGCAGAGCGUGGUAUCACCAUUAAAUCUACUGGAAUCUCCCUCUACUAUGAGAUGUCUGAUGAAUCCUUGAAAAGUUACAAGGGAGAGAGACAUGGAAAUGAGUAUCUUAUCAAUCUUAUUGAUUCACCUGGGCACGUUGACUUCUCGUCGGAGGUUACAGCUGCUUUACGUAUUACUGAUGGUGCCCUUGUUGUGGUGGAUUGCAUCGAAGGUGUUUGUGUCCAAACAGAGACUGUGCUCCGUCAGGCUUUGGGAGAGAGGAUUAGACCUGUCUUGACUGUUAACAAGAUGGAUAGGUGCUUCCUUGAACUUCAAGUGGAUGGAGAAGAGGCUUAUCAAACAUUCCAGAGGGUCAUUGAGAAUGCCAAUGUGAUUAUGGCCACGUAUGAGGAUCCACUUCUGGGCGAUGUUCAAGUGUACCCGGAGAAAGGAACAGUUGCUUUCUCUGCUGGUUUGCACGGCUGGGCAUUUACCCUGACUAACUUUGCCAAGAUGUAUGCCUCCAAGUUUGGAGUAGAUGAGGCGAAGAUGAUGGAGAGACUUUGGGGUGAGAAUUUCUUUGAUCCUGCAACCAAGAAGUGGACAAGCAAGAACACUGGCACGGCAACAUGCAAGCGUGGGUUUGUUCAGUUCUGCUACGAACCCAUCAAGCAGAUCAUUGCAACUUGCAUGAACGAUCGGAAGGACAAGCUAUGGCCCAUGUUGCAGAAGCUUGGUGUUGUCAUGAAGUCUGAUGAGAAGGAUCUGAUGGGCAAACCACUGAUGAAGCGGGUCAUGCAAACAUGGCUACCAGCAAGUACUGCUCUUUUGGAAAUGAUGAUCUUUCAUCUUCCAUCCCCUGCCAAGGCUCAAAAGUAUCGUGUGGAGAAUUUGUAUGAGGGUCCACAAGAUGAUGUUUACGCUAGUGCCAUUAGAAAUUGUGAUCCUGAGGGACCUCUUAUGCUUUAUGUAUCAAAGAUGAUUCCAGCAUCUGACAAGGGCAGGUUCUUUGCCUUUGGACGUGUGUUCUCUGGGAAAGUUUCAACUGGUUUGAAAGUUAGAAUCAUGGGCCCCAACUAUGUUCCUGGUGAGAAAAAAGAUUUGUAUGUUAAGAGCGUCCAGAGAACUGUCAUUUGGAUGGGAAAGAAGCAAGAAACAGUGGAGGAUGUGCCUUGUGGUAACACUGUUGCCAUGGUUGGGCUGGAUCAAUUUAUCACUAAGAAUGCCACUCUGACAAAUGAAAAGGAAGUCGAUGCUCAUCCAAUUCGAGCCAUGAAGUUUUCUGUAUCUCCCGUCGUGCGUGUUGCCGUUCAGUGCAAGGUGGCCUCUGAUCUUCCCAAGCUUGUGGAAGGACUUAAACGUCUGGCCAAGUCAGACCCUAUGGUUGUGUGUACCAUGGAGGAAUCUGGUGAGCACAUUGUUGCUGGUGCUGGAGAACUACAUCUUGAGAUCUGUUUGAAGGAUUUGCAAGAUGAUUUCAUGGGUGGAGCUGAGAUCAUAAAAUCUGACCCUGUUGUCUCUUUCCGUGAAACCGUUCUUGAGAGGUCAUGCCGCACAGUGAUGAGCAAGUCCCCUAACAAGCACAAUCGACUGUACAUGGAAGCACGACCCAUGGAGGAUGGACUGGCAGAGGCUAUUGAUGAUGGCCGCAUUGGACCACGAGAUGAUCCUAAAGUUAGGUCUAAAAUUUUGUCAGAGGAGUUUGCUUGGGACAAAGAUCUUGCUAAGAAGAUUUGGUGCUUUGGUCCUGAGACUACCGGCCCUAACAUGGUGGUUGAUAUGUGUAAGGGAGUUCAAUACCUGAAUGAAAUCAAGGAUUCCGUUGUUGCUGGUUUCCAAUGGGCGUCAAAAGAAGGUGCAUUGGCGGAAGAGAACAUGAGAGGCAUCUGUUUUGAAGUGUGUGAUGUGGUGCUUCACGCUGAUGCCAUCCACAGAGGAGGUGGUCAAGUGAUUCCGACUGCUAGGAGGGUAAUCUACGCUUCUCAGCUGACUGCCAAACCAAGACUUCUUGAGCCAGUGUACCUAGUGGAGAUUCAGGCUCCGGAGCAAGCUCUUGGUGGUAUCUACAGUGUUCUUAAUCAAAAGCGUGGGCACGUCUUUGAGGAAAUGCAGAGGCCUGGCACACCUCUUUACAACAUCAAGGCAUAUCUCCCCGUAAUUGAAUCAUUUGGGUUCUCUAGCACUUUGAGAGCUGCAACUUCUGGACAGGCAUUCCCACAGUGUGUGUUUGACCAUUGGGAAAUGAUGUCUUCAGAUCCAUUAGAAAGUGGGUCUCAAGCUGCGCAGUUGGUUGCUGAUAUCAGGAAGAGGAAGGGGUUGAAGGAGCAAAUGACUCCACUUUCGGAUUUCGAGGACAAGCUGUAGAUCACUUGCGAUGUUAUUUAUUGAGAAGCAAUUAUAGAUUUGCAGAGAAGGUUCUAAUUGAGUUGUCUACCCUGGCUUAUGGAAAGUUUUUGUUUGCUAAUUUAUCUAGAAGACACUGUUGUUUUGACUCUGUUAUUUUACGUUUAAUUUAUCUUUUUGAAUGAGAUCGAGAUCGUUUCUUAAACUUCACAAUGGAGACCAGUAGAAUUGGUUUGUUUCCCUGGGUUUGGAUUUUUUUUCUGUUUGUUUCAUGCCAGUUAUAUGUUUUUCGUUAAAAACAAGUGCGGUAGCUUCACAUAAAAUGGAAUACUUUUUUGUGUCUCACUGUUACUGAAAUUAACAAUCAAUCUGUUUUCGAUUUAUCAGUUGUUUACAGGUUAAGCCAUUCAGCCAUUUUCGCUAGAACGUCAAGGUCCUCUAAGCUUGGAAAGGAAUGACUAAUUCAAGCUGCAGACUAACUUAUUCGACAAAACGUAAGCAAACGAGUAAGAUAUUUUGUCAUUUCAUGCUGAUGUUCUGAUGUUGGUGAUUUGGGGUUUUGCAUAUCAUAUCUUUCCCCUGAAUUGCAUGUUUGUUUUCCACUUUUUGUACGUCCAAAAUCACUUAUAUUAUUUUAAUGACAGAUGUUUAGCGAUGCAAUUAUUGAUUUUGGAUUUAAGUGAUAGGUUAAUAAAAUCUGUUAAAUUAAAAAAAGCUCUUCCUAUUUGUGGUGAAAUUGUAUGAAAGGUGAACUUUUUUCGUCUAUCUUCGUCACUACUUUUUUGUGCGCUCUCUCAUUUCUCUUAAGUUUGAUAUCUACAUUUCACAUGUUUUAAUAACUAAGUCAAAUUUUUAAUGUUAAUUUUUUUUUUUUUUGUUUUUGAAACUGGACUAUAAACUCAACUCUUAUCAUUACAAAUCAAAUCAUGGGAAUGAUAGAAUUACUUAAUUCUUAAAAACAAUAAACGAUUGAAAAUACUUAAUUCAAUGCCGUAGUUUUGUUUUUCUUUCUGCUCCACAAAAUUUUCUAACUUUUUUGUGCUUGUUUUAUUAAUUAUUAUUUUAUAUUUUUUGCUCAAUUUUGUGCCUUUUGCUAACUUUAUUUUUCUUUAAUUUUUCGCUUUAAUUAAAAUUCUCUCAUUGUUUUCUAUUUAUGCGUAAACUUAUGGCCCCCUUUUUCUUUAAAUCUUGUUUUUCUAUUUCUUACCUAAAUUUUCAUCCCUUCGUAGUUUUUGUGUACCACUUUUUAUUUUUUAUUUUUAUUCUCUCAAAUGUAAUCAAUCCUUUUCAUUUUAGUAUUUUGAUGAUUCUAAAUUUACUGUGAAGAUAAACAUUGAACAUAAAGAACUUCUAAUGCAACUAAAUUCUCUUUAACAACGGUGGGAUCGAAUAUAAAAUAAUUUUACGUAAAUGCUUUUGCAAAAGUAACUAUAAUUAUUAUUAAAUUGUUCUCUAAAAUCGCCUACCUAAGAAACAUCUCUUCGAUGGGUCAGCAAACCAAAUGAUCUUAAGAAGUAUUACUAACCCAAUCCUAAAAAUAUGAGUUGAGUUGGGUUUUCGAGUUGUAGAACUUUUGUUUCAUGUUUAAUAUUCAUUAAAUUUUAAAAACAUUAUUACAUCUUAUUCACAAAUCCACACAUUCAAAAAUACUUGCAAUAAGUUUUAAAUCAUCUAGUAUUACAUAAGGAGAGACAAAUAUGAACUAAAGCAAAAAAAAUAUUUUAAUAAUUAUUUUAUAAAAUUUAAUCUAAAUAUAUAUAAUAUCGUUAAUUUAGGUUGAGUUGAGUUGAAUAAAAUUUUUUAAAACAUUUAUAUAUAAAUAUGAGUGGACUAGUUGGCUACUGCCUUUUAGUUUUUUCAAUAAAUUUGGAAGGACUUAUUUAAAAAUCAAUUUUAACAAACAAUGCAUGUAGAAUUCAAUUUCUUUAAAAUCUCUAUUUCUCAAAGUCUCAUAUAUGUUCUAUAUAUGUAUAUAUAUUCUAGUAUUGAAAAGAUCAAUUUUUUUAUUUCUUUUUAUUAAGAAUAUAGGAAACAGAACAUUAUAUUUCAAUUUUUGUUUUUAUCUUUGUUACCCAGAAUAUUGGUUUAACUUGACUUGAUCGAGGAUUUACUUUACUUUUCCAAAUUGAUCGCCAAACAUUAUUGUUGGUUAGAAACUCUUUUUCUUUACAGCUAUUAUCCACACAAAGAAAAAAAACCACCCUUACUUGUUCUCUCUUUUGCAUAAUACAUAAACACAAAUAGUACACAACAUGAAAUCGUACUACCACAAAUACAACCCAACCAUUUCUCCAGUCUUUUAAACGGUAAACCAUCCACGAUUCUUCCACAUCUUCGUCUCAGUGCUUCCUUGCUUCUCUUUCAGCCUACAAAACCAACUCUUAUCAGGAUUUACAUCAACAUAUCAUAUGCACCCACACACUUCACACCAACAAAAUAUUUCGGUAUAUAUAGCAACAUCUUACAGCUUUAACUACUCGUUCAAAAGCAUCCGGUCCAUAUCUAUCGAUGUAACGUUCCACAGAUUUCCUAGAAUCCAAAGUCAUCAUCUGCAGUACUUUCUUUUGAUUCUCUGGAUAGUUUGGGUUCACAUAUCUUCCAAUCUUUACAUAUUUCCUCACUAUAUUCUCAUAGAUAUAAGCUGCCCCAUUGAAAAUUGGUAGAACCAACCACAAACAAGCCACCAGUUUAAUAUAUCCCCAUAGUGGAAUCCUACAUACCAUUAAUUCCAUAGCCUUUGAAAAAUCUAAACAAUAACAACAACAACAAGAGCCUCAAAUAAAAAUACAAGCUUUAAUUUGUAUAGAACUAUACCAAACCAAGAUCUUCCAAAAUGUUAGUUCAAAGAGGGUUAUAAGAGAAUAUAUAACCCAAUAAGUCAGCCAUUGCUGGUCAUCAAGGGUUGAAGGACUCUCAAUUGCUCUUAUUGAUGCAUAUCUGCUCAUAAUAUUUACGAAGUUUAACUUUCUAUUAAUCAUGUCUCGGAAACCAUAAAAUAUUAAGAGAAAUUUAUAAUUCAAAUGAGUUGUGUUCACUUACAAAGGAUAAAGAAGCAUAACUCCAGGCCUGAACCAAAGGAAAAAGUUGAAAUUCAUUGAGAAAAAACAAUGAUAUUAUAAAGGACGAAACUUUCGGUUUUGAGAGUACCCAAUAAUUGCAUCCAAAUUUUUAGCUAUAGCUCCGAGGAUACCCAUCUCUGAAUUCAACCUUAAAAUGAAACUUGGAAUAUAUACUGGUUCAUUCAAGAUAAUGAAAAUUGGAUGAAGGGGAAGUUUAUGAUAUAUAUAUAUAUAUAUUAUAUAUAUAUAUAUAUGUAUGUAUAUGUGGAGGUGAGUAAUUAAGCAAGGUAAAGAAUGUCUGUUCCAGGUGUUCUUCUUUACCCAAAGAACAAGCAAAAGCCAAAAGAAUUCAAAUGAAGUCAAUUAAUGGAUUGAAAAUAAAAAGGAAAGGGAAUGAAGAAUACAUAUGGGAACUGUUACUUUGUAUUCCUUUCCAACUUGCAUAAAUAUAUUUAGUCAGAAAGGUGUCUGUUGUUAUAUACCUUCCUUUUUAUUCUCUUUCCCUUUUGCCUUCAUCACUUCUUUUGAGGUCUUUUUUUUACUCAAUACUAUUUGGGAAUAAUCAAUAUAUUUUUUAAUGUCUAAAUUGGAAAAAAAUAAAAGAAAACACUCUCAUUUAAGAAAAUAUUCAUAUUCUUUCAAAAGUUGGAUAUUUCUAUCAUGUUUCAAACCUACUUAUUACAAUAGGAAAAUCACUAAAAUGCUAUUUGAAAAGUUGAUCUUGUUUUUUUAAGCUUAAUCUAAGCAUGUAUCUAAGUGCAUAUUUGAAUUAAUCAUAGAAAAAAUUUGUUUUAUCUAAAAUUCCCUUGAUAAAAAAAACAAAACAAGCCUUUCAAAAACUAUUUUAAAGCGGUUGUCAAACAUUUUUUUUCAAAUUAAUUAAACACUUGAAAUAUUAAGCAAUACACACUCCUAAUAAAUACCACAUUCGUCAAAUUCAUUGCCACAUUAACUUUUUUUCCUCCAACAUUCUAAAGAAUUUAUACUUUUUAAACAUUUGUAAAAGUUCAAGAGUAAUAUUGUUCGAGAAUUCCAUAUUGAAAAAGUUAAGGAAUUUCGCUCAAUGUACAAGAUAAAUGAAUCAAUUCUCUCGUUACCUAUCAAUUUCGAAUAAAUAUUGCAAACUUAGAUAAGAAUAUGAGUUUAGUUUAAAAAUUUUAGUUAUCCAAUUUGAGUUUGAAUUAAAAUUUUGGUAUGGACGGUGAAUAAUUUACAAAUUCUUAUCUUUAAAAAUCCCUCUAUUUUUGUUUUUGCAUUUAACAUUUUAUGAUAUCUAGGAUGAUUACUGAAUUCAUUAAAUAUUGCUUUUGUUUGGUAGAUGUUAUUUUCUUCAAUACUUAUAAAUAAGAAUUUGGGAAAUUUUGUUUUGAUGAAAUUGAGUAUGGUGAAUGUUUGUUAUGUAAACAAUGGGAUGGUGAUCGAAAGGGAAUGUGAUAAGCAAUCGGAAGUUUCAAAGUAGGAUGCGACAUGUCGGCCUUCUGUAGCCAUUCAGGUCUUCAUUUAAUAGCCGCAAAGUCCAAGCUUUUGGAGCUUCAGCCUUUCAGGUAUGAAACGACAUGUCAUUUCCCGUGCUCUUGGAUUUGGUUAACCAACCCAAUCACUUUCUCAUCUAUUCACUUCAUGCAUCAAAUGAGUGUUCAAGAAAUUUUUUAAAAGUUUGGUCUCUUUUUCACUCAACUUUGUACUUGUUGUUUUCAAUUAAACAAAAAUUAUCUUCAAAAAUAUUAAACAGAAACAUUGGAGUUAUGAAUGAAAUUGACAUUGGAUUAAAUUUAAAAAUCUUAUAGAGACAAAAUUUAAAAGUAAUCUUAUUUCAAAAUUCAUUUAAAUCUUCCAACUUCAUCUCUAAGUUUGUAUAGUUUUUUGUUUCAAUAACGUAACCCUUCAAAUAGUCAAUCUAGAAUUGUAAAUAAUUCCAUCUUAACUCUCCAUUUUUCAACAUGGUGUAAUAAAAUUUUCAUUCUUAUAAUGAAAUUAGAAUGGGAUAUUUGUAGGAAUAAAUUCUUCAUUAACAUGGUAAUGGUUCUAUUAGGAGUGGGUUUGGGACAAUAAGUUGUUUGAGUUAAUUAAGCAGCACCUUUUUGUUUGUAAUUUGAAUUUUGUUUUAUAUCUUUUAGAUCCUCUCAAUUUCAAAUAUGUGUUUGGGUAGAUGACUUGGUUAUGUUUUUACAAUAAUUGUUUCCAUACUAUAAAUGGAAAACAAUGCAAAAUUUGAAUUCACAAUUUUAAAAUGUAAAAUACUAUAUAAACAAAAAAGUUAAUUGGAGUGAAAGGAGAAAAGAAUACGAAUUUAAGGUAGUUUUCUAUAAGAAAAGUUGUAGUGUGAUAAGCUUUUCUAGAAUAAUAUAUAGCAAAUAUCACACAAGUUUUUAUAAUUAUGUAAAUAUGGUAAAGUUAUUAUUUUAAUUUAAAGUUUGUUAUUAUUCUCAACUUAUCAUUCAAUAAUAAUAUAUUUUCUUCUAAAUGGUAUUUUUUGUCGUGCUUUUUAAAGUCCUAUUCACGACUCUUCUUUCACGCUCUUCCUUAUUGGUAGAUUUCAAUUGGUUUUCAAAAUCGGUAAGGGCGUCUUCAUUUGUGAAUCGUUUGUCAAGUCGUUCAAAAUUCGUAUGAAGAUGGAUUUCUAAUAUUGAUUUCAUCCUUCAUUAUUUAUUGAUUUUGAUUUUGACCACAAGAGUUCGAUUUUUUUUUUUUUUUUUGUAUUUUUCAACGAUUUGAAUGAUUUCUUCUUCAGUUCAUUGUAGUUACGGUUUAUUAUAUAAUAAAUUUUGAAUCAAAUGUAUCAAUUGUAUAAAGUGUUGCGUUAUUAAGUAUAUGAACGAUAUUAUUUAGUGUAUCAUUAUUAAGUGUAUCAACAAUAUAUUAGUAAAGUGAAUCAUUAUCCAAAGUAUAUCAAUCAAGUUUGCAAUUGUAUAUCAAUAUAUAACGUAUCAAGUGUAUUAGCAGGACUUCAAGUAUAUAAAGUAUAUUUAAUCAAUCAAGUGUAUUGGUGAAGAAUACUAAAUUUAUUUGCACUACAUCUAGUGUAUCAAACAUAUCAAAUUCGUUGAGUGUACCAGUCAAGCAUAACAAGUUUAUCAAUAAGGCAAUGAAUGUAUCAAGAAGAAUAAAUUGUAACAAAAAGUAUUAGGUGUAUCAAGGAGUAUUAGGUAUAUCAAGGUGUUUUAGGUGUAUCAAAGGGUAUCGAGUGAAUAAAAGAGUAUCAGAUGCAUCAAGUAUAUCAAGGUCUAAAUAGUAUCAAAGACUUUUUGUAAGAUGUGUUACUAUGCGGUUAAGGUGUUACGCAAAAAGAAUUAUUUGACGAAAAAGAGUAAGGAAAUAAAUUUCCUUAGUGUUCUAAUGUGCCAUGUGUAGAGACUAAGUUAAGCAUGAUUAAGUUAAAUCAAGCUUACACGUACUACGAAAUUGGCAAACAGACAAGAGUUUGGGAAUGACUAAUCUUGUUAAGGAGUAGUAUAAAUAGAGGUUGAGGUCAAACCAUUAAUUAUUGUUGCUCUGCUCAAUUCAAGAGAGAAGCUUAAGAGUUGAAGUGCUGCCAAAGUUACUACGUAAGAAGAAGAAAGUUGAAGCAAUCUGGGUUUAAGGCUAAGUUUAGUGAGUGUUUUCUUCAAGUAUUUAAAUAAUUGUAAGUUCUUUAUGCAUUCUAUGAUGCUUUGGAAUGAUAAACUUCAAAAUAUAUGUUUCUAAAGAGAUUUACAUGAAAAGCUUAUAUGUUUAAUAUAUAUGUUUCAAAAGUAAGAUUGGAUUAUGAAAUGAUGUUCAAACCUUUAGUUACUUCCUAUCAUUGAGUUAACUAUUACGUGCACAUAAUGAGUCAAGGCAACCAUAGGAUGAAAGAGGCUACAUGGUGAAUAGAAGCAAGCUAAUACAUUGAAAAGAGUGUAUUAAUUAAGCUUAGUAGCCUGAGCAAUAAGAACAAGUCUAUAUAUUCUCGGAUGUUGUUAUUACAGUAGUCUAAACACGAAGUAAUAAGACUUAGCGUAGGGAAUGAUUUAGAAUCCUUAGCGAAUUGAAUGCUUGAUAACUUGUCACACCUUACCCAGAGCACCUGCUUGCUCGGCCUGAGAUGUGGCGUAAUGUCAGCUGAAGCCAUUAACCUCUGAAACAACUUCAACUUACCUUUGACAUGAAAACGUAAAACAUUUAACAGCGAAAGUUUUUAAACUUGAAAUACUUUGAAAUUAUAGUAUAACCCAUCUAAAAUGCCUUUCAUAAAUGUAUGAAACAUAAAGAUAUAAACUUUUAAAUAAAUAUUGUAAUACUUUUAACAAAUUUAUUCCUUUCAGACCUAAAAAUUAGAUUGGCCUAGCAGCAGUAAGUUCAUCACGUGGAGAAUCACAAUCUAUACCUAGAAAGAGGGAAAACAUUUGGGAAGGGUAAGUCGAAAUACUUAGUGAGCAACAGUUUUAUAUAACAAGUUUUCAUAUAACAAUUUAAUAUAAAACUAAAGCUUUAAAUACAUUUGUCAAUAAAACAGUCAUUUCAUAACAUAAUACGUGAAACAUUUGCAUAUAUAGCUUUUGUAAGACAAUGUUCUAUAGCCACAUACAACAUUUACCCCUUCAUCUAAAGACGAAACAGUCGUUAAGAAGCUAUCCCCCUCCUUUAAGGCAUAAAAAUAUAUCAUUCUUGAUGACACAUAAACUAUAGGCUUGUCAACCCUACCAUCAGUAUGAAAUUAACCACAUGUAUAUGAUACGUUUCACGAAAUAUUCAGACUAGGAGAAAACAUUUGAAAAUAUUGAAAUAUUUUCCUUGGCCUUGAUCAUGAAAUCAUUCAAACAUUGUAUUGUUGGCUUUUUGGCCCUUAAUCUCAAAUUAAUUUAUUUUAAUUAUUCAAUUAAUUUAUGUUUUGAUGAUAACAAAUCUGAUUUUUUUAUUGACAAUUUUAUUAAUUUGAAUAGACCAUAUCGUAGAGCUUGGAAAAAUGAUUCUAACGCCUCUUGAAUCACCCAAAUCGAAGUUCAAAUGAAGAAAAUAUUGCUAAAAGAAGCUUAACGAAAAAAUACCCGAGAUGGUGACGUGGCGACCAAGCAUUCAAUUUGAACCAAUUAGAGAAAGCCACUUGGAGCAAUGAAGGAGUAACAAAUGUGGCUUUUUGUUAUGUUUUAUUGGCUUUUAUAAAGAAAAUGAAUUUAAAAGAAAAAUGAUUUUAAUAUUAUUAUUUUUUCUUGUGUCUAACGGCUAGUUUUUUUAAAAGAGGGUGAAGUUGCUUUAUUGAUUUCUUUUUAAACAAAAUAUUUUGAAAAGACAUAUUAUUAUAUUAUUAUUUGUAUUGUGUCUAACGGCUAAUUAAGUUUAAAUCUCAACCAUUCAUUUUUCUUUUACUUAUAUCUAAUGACCCAAAUGAUUUUGAAUUUAUCUUUCCUCUCUUUUUAAAUACUUCACAUUUACACAAGAUCACAACAUCUUUACAAUCCUCAAGCAAAAAGCCAACAUUGUUAUUCUCUCUAAAGCUUCCAAUUUUUAUUCUUUUCAUCUUAUUCUUGAGAGCUUCUUAUUGUAUUGUGAGGAUUAAAUUUGUGAGCUUCAAAUUGUAUACUCACUCUUUUAGAGAGUUUUCUUUUGUGUGAUUUAAAAAUUUCAACAUAUUGUAACGGUUGGAUCCUAACCCGUGGAAAGGAUCGGGUUUGCUCUUGAACCCGAAAAAGGAGCAAGAAUCGGUUCGGCUCAAAUCCGUGGAAAGAGUCCAAAGAAGAUUUUCAAUCAAAAUCCCAAGGGGUGCUUGGGAAAGUGGAUGUAGGUUGAGUUUAACCGAACCACUAUAAAAUUACGGUGUCUUCUUCUCUAACUCUUUUCUAAUUAUUUUUUAAUUUAAUUUUAGUUACAUAUUCUUAUUGGUUGAGUUUGAUUGCAUACUUCCAUUCAUAUCUUUUUAUCAAUCUUGUUAUUUAACAAAGUUUACAAAGUUCUUUAUUUAAAUUUUAGAAAAUAUCUAAUUAGUUGAUUUUACUUUUUAUUUGUCAAAAAGUUUAUUUAAACCCUAUUCACCCCCCUCUAGGGUUGCCAUACCGAUCCAACAAUUGGUAUCAGAGCAAGGUUGCUCAUCUUGAAAUUUUAAUUUCUUGAUAAACUUUAUUGUUAGAGCAUUAUGGCAAACCUAUUGGCAAAUGGUAUUGUUGAAGGUCAAUCUACUUCUAGACCUCCUUAUUUUGAUGGUUCAAAUUAUGCAUAUUGGAAAGCUAGAAUGAAAAUUUAUUUGCAAUCUAUUGACUAUAAUUUGUGGUUAAUUGUUGCUAAAGGUCCUUAUGUACCCAUGAAAAAUGUUGAUACGCCUAAAUUAGAAGAAGAGUAUGAUGAAAAUGAAAUGAAAAAGUGUUCAUUUAAUGCUAAGGCUAUUAACUGUUUGUAUUGUGCCUUGAGUAAAGAUGAAUUUAAUAGAAUAUCCAUGUGUUCUUCCGCUCAAGAAAUUUGGAAUACUCUUGAAAUUACUCAUGAAGGAACAAAUCAAGUUAAAGAGUCUAAAAUUAGCAUGUUUGUUCAUAAUUAUGAAUUGUUUAAGAUGGAUGCUAAUGAGACUAUCACCGAUAUGUUUACUAGAUUUACUAACAUCAUAAAUGCUUUGAAGGGUCUUGGUAAAGUUUAUACAACUUCCGAAAAUGUUAGAAAAAUUCUAAGGUCUCUACCUAAGACUUGGGAAGCUAAGGUAACGGCGAUUCAAGAAGCAAAGGAUCUCACCAAACUUCCACUAGAGGAGCUUAUUGGCUCACUCAUGACUCAUGAGAUCAUCAUGAAGGAGCACUUGGAGGAUGAGUCCAAAAAGAAGAAGAGCAUUGCAUUAAAGACUAUCUCCUUGGAAGUUGAUCCCGAAGAUGAGGAUGGCCUUGAUGAAGAUGACAUUGCUUAUUUCUCACGUAAGUACAAAAAUUUCAUAAAAAGAAAGAAAUAUUUCAAGAAACACCUAUCAACCCAAAAAGAGUCAAAAGGUGAGAAAAGCAAAAAGGAUGAGGUGAUUUGUUAUGAAUGCAAAAGAUCGGGUCAUAUAAGAACGGAUUGUCCUCUCCUCAAAUCAUCUAAGAAAUCCAAGAAGAAGGCAAUGAAGGCUACAUGGGAUGAUAGUAGUGAAAGUGAAAGUGAAGUUGAAGAAAUGGCAAAUCUUGGUCUCAUGGCUCAUAGUGACAAAGAUGAUGAACAUGAUGAUAAGGUAACUCUAGAACCUCUUUCUAUUGAUGAAUUAUUUGAAAAUUUUGAAAGCAUGCAAAAUGACCUAGAAAAACUUAGUUCUAAGUAUGUUGUGCUUAAGAAGAAAUACAAUGUUUUAAUUAGUGAAAAUAAGUCUUUACUUGAUACAAUUGCUUGCUUUAAAGAGAAUGAAAAUUUUGAGCAAAUUGAAGAAUUGAAUGUCUCUAGUGAUAAGCAUGUUUGUAUUGAGAAAGAUGCUUUGCUUGAUAAAGUUAGAUUUCUUGAGCAUGAUAGUUGUGAAAAAGAUAACUUGAUUAAAGUGCUUAAAGAAAAUGAACUAAGUGUUUUACAAGAACUUGAUAAAGCUAAAGAAACUAUUAAAAAGUUGACAAUAGGUGCUCAAAGAUUGGACAAAAUUAUUGAAGUAGGAAAAUCUUAUGGUGAUAAGAGAGGUUUAGGCUAUAUUGAUGAAUCAUCUACUCCUUCAAGUUCUAAAACUACAUUCGUUAAAGCAUCACCUAUUGUGCCUAAGUUUAACAUGUCUAAUCAUGUGUCUAAUCAUGUUAAAUCUAGUUUUGUACCCAUAUGUCAUAAUUGUGGUGUUGAAGGUCACAUUAGACCUAAAUGCUUUAAAUUGAAGUAUGCUCAAAAUACUUAUUCAAGAAGAAAUUUUUCGCAAAGAGCAAAGUUUUACAUUGCUCCAAGGAAGAAUUUCUCCAAUAAAAGUAGAGUACAUAAAUUUGUUAUGAAAAAUAAAUCUUUGCAUAAUGUUGUUUGUUUUUCUUGUGGCAAGUAUGGACAUAAAGCUUAUUCUUGUUACCUAUCUAGAUCUAGUGCUUGUAAUGUCUAUGAAAAAAUGAAAUGGAUCCCUAAAUAUGUAAAUGCUAACAUUCUAGGACCCAAACAAGUAUGGGUACCAAAGGAUCAAACUUGAAAUUAGUUGUUUUUAGGUUUGUUUGAAAGCCUCCAAGAAAAACAAAUGGUACUUGGAUAGUGGUUGCUCAAGACACAUGACGGGAGACCGAUCCAAGCUUAUCUCUUUCUCCAAAAAGAAUGGAGGCAUGGUAACCUUUGGUGACAACAAGAAAGGUAAAAUAAUUGGUAAGGGUAAUAUAGGAAAUGAUUCAUCUACUUUGAUUGAAAAUGUUCAUUUGGUUGAUGGUUUAAAGCAUGAUUUGCUUAGUAUUAGUCAAUUGUGUGAUAAAGGAUUUAGAGUAAUAUUUGAUAAAAGAAAUUGCAUAAUUGAAAAUGUUAGUGAUAGAAAAGUUUUGUUUGUUGGAAAUAGGGAUGAAAAUGUGUACACUCUUGAUUUGAAUGAUUAUCCUAUUAUUGAUAAAUGUCUUUCGGUUUUGCAUAAUGAUUCUUGGUUAUGGCAUAGAAGACUAGGACAUGCUAGCAUGCACUUAAUUUCAAAUAUUUCUAAAAAUUGUUUGGUUAGAGGUCUUCCUAGUUUUAAAUUUGAAAAAGACAAAGUUUGUGAUGCUUGUCAAAUGGGUAAGCAAACUAAGUCCUCUUUCAAAUCUAAAAAUGUGAUCUCUACUACUAGACCCUUACAACUAUUACACAUGGACUUAUUUGGCCCUUCUAGAAUUGCUAGCUAUGGAGGAAAUUAUUAUGCUUUUGUGAUAGUUGAUGAUUUUUCUAGAUUUACUUGGGUUUUGAUGAUAAAACAUAAGGAUGAUGCUUUGAAAAGUUUUAUUAGUUUUGCAAAAAGAGUACAAAAUGAAAAAGGAUUUUUUAUUUCCAAAAUUAGGAGUGAUCACGGAGGAGAAUUUGAUAAUGAUGCUUUUAAAGCUUUUUGUGAAGAAAAUGGUUUUUCCCAUAAUUUUUCCUCUCCAAGAACUCCUCAACAAAAUGGUGUAGUUGAAAGGAAAAAUCGUACUUUGCAAGAAUUUGCUAGAUCAAUGUUGAAUGAGUAUGGUUUACCUAAAUAUUUUUGGGCGGAAGCCGUUAACACCGCUUGCUAUGUUUCAAAUAGAGUUUUAGUUAGACCAUCUUUAGAUAAAACUCCUUAUGAACUUUGGCAUGGAAAAAUUCCAAAUAUUGGGUAUUUCAAAGUUUUCGGUUGUAAAUGUUUUAUUUUGAAUAACAAAGAAAAACUUGGAAAAUUUGAUUCUAAGACGGAUGUUGGUAUUUUUCUAGGAUAUUCCUCUACUAGUAAAGCUUAUAGAGUUUUCAAUAAGAAAACUUUAGUUAUUGAGGAAUCUAUUCAUGUUGUAUUUGAUGAAUCUUGGAAUAAUGUUUCUAAUGAGUCUAUUUGUAGUGAUGAUUUAGAAAAAGAUUUUGGAGAUUUACUUGUUAAUGACAAAGGCAAAGAAAUUGUUCCAAGUAUGCAAGAUGUGAACAUCAUAGAGAAGAAAGAAGAGGGUUCUUCAUCCUUGCCUAAAGAGUGGAGAUAUGCUCUAUCCCAUCCCAAGGAUCUAAUUCUUGGCAAUCCCGAACAAGGUGUCAAAACUCGUUCUUCUCUUAAUUUAUUUAGUAAUCUUGCUUUUGUGUCUCAAAUUGAACCUAGAAGUUUUAAAGAUGCCGAAUGUGAUGAGUUUUGGAUUUUAGCUAUGCAAGAAGAAUUAAAUCAAUUUGAAAGAAACAAAGUUUGGAAAUUAGUCCCUAGGCCUUCUAAUGCAUCUAUAAUCGGAACUAAAUGGGUUUUUAGAAAUAAGAUGGAUGAAAAUGGAAAUAUCAUUAGAAAUAAAGCUAGACUUGUAGCUCAAGGUUAUUGUCAAGAAGAAGGUAUAGAUUAUGAAGAAACUUUUGCACCGGUUGCUAGAUUAGAAGCUAUUAGAAUGUUGCUUGCUUUUGCUUCUUAUAAAAAUUUCAUUUUGUAUCAAAUGGAUGUAAAAAGUGCUUUUUUAAACGGUUAUAUUGUGGAGGAAGUUUACGUAGAACAACCUCCGGGCUUUGAAAGUUUUGAUUUACCUAAUCAUGUUUAUAAGUUGAAAAAGGCUCUUUAUGGCUUAAAACAAGCUCCAAGAGCUUGGUAUGAUAGACUUAGCAAGUUUUUACUUGAGAAUGACUUUAAGAUGGGAAAAAUUGAUAAUACUCUAUUUAUUAAAGUUAAAAAUAAUGACAUGCUUAUAGUACAAAUUUAUGUGGAUGAUAUUAUAUUUGGUUCUACUAAUUCAUCUUUGUGUGAAGAAUUUUCCAAGUGUAUGCAUAAUGAGUUUGAGAUGAGUAUGAUGGGAGAACUUAGUUUCUUCCUUGGUCUUCAAAUCAAACAACUCAAGGAUGGCAUCUUCAUAAGUCAAGAAAAAUACACAAGGGAUUUGCUCAAGAAAUUCAAAUUAAAUGAAGGUAAAGUUGCAAAAACUCCUAUGAGCACUACCACUAAGCUUGACAAAGAUGAAAAAGGUAAGUGUGUGGAUAUAAAGACUUAUCGAGGUAUGAUUGGAUCUUUACUUUAUUUGACCGCUAGUAGACCCGAUAUCAUGUUUAGUGUAUGUCUUUGUGCUAGAUUUCAAUCUUGUCCUAAAGAAUCACAUUUCCAUGCUGUUAAAAGGAUACUUAAAUAUUUGCUUGGAACUAUUGAUGUUGGAUUAUGGUAUCCUAGAAAUGUUGAGUUUAAUUUGGUAGGAUAUUCCGAUGCGGACUUUGCCGGUAGUUUACUUGACCGUAAAAGUACUAGUGGGACUUGUCAAUUUCUUGGUAGUUCCUUAGUAUCUUGGUUUAGUAAAAAGCAAAAUUCGGUUGCCUUAUCCACUACCGAAGCGGAAUAUAUUGCGGUUGCUAGUUGUUGUGCACAAAUUCUUUGGAUGAAACAAACUCUUUGUGAUUUUGGAUUAAAAUUUGAUAAUGUGCCUAUAUUUUGUGAUAAUACUAGUGCCAUAAAUUUGACUAAGAAUCCUAUUCAUCAUUCUAGAACUAAGCAUAUAGAUAUUAGGCAUCACUUUAUUAGAGAGCAUGUACAAAAUGGUCAUAUUACUCUUGAGUUUGUAAGUUCCAAUAAUCAAUUAGCGGAUAUAUUUACCAAACCUUUGAGUGAAGAAAGCUUUUGUAAAAAUAGGCUUGAGCUUGGAAUUAUUCGUUGUGAUGCAUCUUGAUUUUAUAUCUUACUUGAUAUUGUUACCGUAAUGCAUAUUGAUAGGGGGAGAAUUAGACAUUUUGUAUGUGUUCAUGUUUUUUGGGGAGCUAACUUCAUUGGUAUUGUUUUUGAUGAUUCCAAAGGGGGAGAAGUAUAAGAAAAAUAUGUUUUUAUCAAUUUGUUGCAUAAUUGUUUCUAUUGAAUAAUGCAUAUUUUUUUAGAGAAAAAUUAAUUAAGGACAAAGAAGGUUCUCUUAUCAAUUGUUUUCAAGUAUGAUCUUUGUGGUGAAAUAUAUACAUGAGCUUUAUGGUUAUACAUCUUGAUAAUAGAAUUACUUGUUGAUCAUGUGUGUUUCAAGUUAUUUUUCUUCAAUGAUUUGUCAUCAUCAAAAAGGGGGAGAUUGUUGGCUUUUUGGCCCUUAAUCUCAAAUUAAUUUAUUUUAAUUAUUCAAUUAAUUUAUGUUUUGAUGAUAACAAAUCUGAUUUUUUUUAUUGACAAUUUUAUUAAUUUGAAUAGACCAUAUCGUAGAGCUUGGAAAAAUGAUUCUAACGCCUCUUGAAUCACCCAAAUCGAAGUUCAAAUGAAGAAAAUAUUGCUAAAAGAAGCUUAACGAAAAAAUACCCGAGAUGGUGACGUGGCGACCAAGCAUUCAAUUUGAACCAAUUAGAGAAAGCCACUUGGAGCAAUGAAGGAGUAACAAAUGUGGCUUUUUGUUAUGUUUUAUUGGCUUUUAUAAAGAAAAUGAAUUUAAAAGAAAAAUGAUUUUAAUAUUAUUAUUUUUUCUUGUGUCUAACGGCUAGUUUUUUUAAAAGGGGGUGAAGUUGCUUUAUUGAUUUCUUUUUAAACAAAAUAUUUUGAAAAGACAUAUUAUUAUAUUAUUAUUUGUAUUGUGUCUAACGGCUAAUUAAGUUUAAAUCUCAACCAUUCAUUUUUCUUUUACUUAUAUCUAAUGACCCAAAUGAUUUUGAAUUUAUCUUUCCUCUCUUUUUAAAUACUUCACAUUUACACAAGAUCACAACAUCUUUACAAUCCUCAAGCAAAAAGCCAACAUUGUUAUUCUCUCUAAAGCUUCCAAUUUUUAUUCUUUUCAUCUUAUUCUUGAGAGCUUCUUAUUGUAUUGUGAGGAUUAAAUUUGUGAGCUUCAAAUUGUAUACUCACUCUUUUAGAGAGUUUUCUUUUGUGUGAUUUAAAAAUUUCAACAUAUUGUAACGGUUGGAUCCUAACCCGUGGAAAGGAUCGGGUUUGCUCUUGAACCCGAAAAAGGAGCAAGAAUCGGUUCGGCUCAAAUCCGUGGAAAGAGUCCAAAGAAGAUUUUCAAUCAAAAUCCCAAGGGGUGCUUGGGAAAGUGGAUGUAGGUUGAGUUUAACCGAACCACUAUAAAAUUACGGUGUCUUCUUCUCUAACUCUUUUCUAAUUAUUUUUUAAUUUAAUUUUAGUUACAUAUUCUUAUUGGUUGAGUUUGAUUGCAUACUUCCAUUCAUAUCUUUUUAUCAAUCUUGUUAUUUAACAAAGUUUACAAAGUUCUUUAUUUAAAUUUUAGAAAAUAUCUAAUUAGUUGAUUUUACUUUUUAUUUGUCAAAAAGUUUAUUUAAACCCUAUUCACCCCCCUCUAGGGUUGCCAUACCGAUCCAACAUGUAUAACUUGAACAUCAAUUUAUAAACAUUUAUCAUAAAUCAUAACUUGAAAUAAUAACAUGAAAAUCAUGCUUUAUAAAUCAUUUCACAAGCUAUUGCUUGUGUAGCUUGAAACCAUGUUUAAUAAAUACUUUUGAUUAUAUAAAUCAAUGUGUUACUCAUUGUUCUUGGAUAAAGUGUUGGUUGUGAGAUUCCUCUUAAGCCUCCUUAAUAUGAAAUUUCAUAUUUUAUCCUUAAUUAAUCAUUUUGAUCAUGAAAAUAUCUAAAACUUCCCUUUAAAAUUCCCAGACCUUCCCUUUAAAAUUCCCAGACCUAUACAACAUGAAAUUUUUGCCCAUCUCGCCUAAUUUUUCGUCCAUAAUACAUGAUCCAACUUUGAAAAUUCAUCAUUUAAAAUCCAUAACUCUUUUAACAAAAAUUUCUUCUACAAAGUUGCUCUAAAAUGUCUUAAUGUUCUUUUCUCAACAUUUCAGAAUCGAACUCCAAAAGACGAGUUUUGUAUUCCUCUAGAAGUCCACCUUGCUCAAAUUCAUCUGAAUACUGACCUUCUCGCCUUCUCUUAACCAAAGCGUCAAUCUUCUCGCGUCCAAAUUGCACUGCAGCUCGGGUUUAUAAUUUAGACACAAUUCUGAAACUUUUGAGACUAAUUUGAAAUAAAAAAAAACACGUGUGAAUGGUGAGAAACCCUUCCUUGAAGUUGCCUAUUUAUAGGAAGCCUUGCAUGAAACUUAAAUGAAACCUCCUCCUUGAUUAAAUCCAUCACUUAAUCUCCUUAUUUCACCUCCUAUUUCUACUCCACCACCUACUUGGCCCAUAACGUGCAUGUAACAUGUUUAAGACACUUGGAUUAGCCUUAAACCAUUUGCCACGUAGUUGUCCAAAACACCUAGAUAACCUCUAAGAUAUUUCUCGCAUAGCCUUGGCCGUCCAACCAAAACGCCUAAAGUCAUCUCAUCUCACCUACUGACCCCUUUAAUCCAUCAUUUCGCCUAGCACAAGCACCCUUAAUUGCCAAUAUCUUCUCUUUAGAGGUUAUUUUUCUUGCUUAACUAUGAGCCUUAACUACUUGUCUUAAUAACUUCUUUGGAGGUUAUUUACUCAUCUUUUGGUUGGUCAACAAGUCCAAAAUGCCUAAGGUGUGGACUAAGCCAAUUUUUCUACUUUUUCCUAUCUUGACUUAAAUAUGGAAUCGUAAUGUCCUUCAAGAUUUUUUACCUUCCUUUCCUACAAAUCUCAUUAUCUCUUGUCCUUUCCAAAACUUUAACAAGUUCCACAGAUCUAAAAAUUUUGGGGUUUCACAUAAAUAAUGUGUGUUAUUGCGAGAUAAAACAUUUGUAUGAAAUGAUGUGUUUGUAUGAACAUAUUUAUUUUGUUUUAUUAUUAAAUGAUGUUUACAAAAAGGGUAUUCUGUGAAAAGGAUUUCUUAAAAAUCAUAUUGAGUUUUGUAGACUUACGUUUUUAAAUCUCAAUUUUCAGGAAGUAGGCGUUAAGGCCAAGUAAGAAAAGUUGAUAGGCUUGCUAGGCGAGAAGAGCUGCCAGGCGUUUUAAUUUAAGUUUUAAGUUUUGUACUUGUGUAAACUGCAAAGUGUUGUAAUCUUAUGACUUAAGUUUAAUAAAGGAUUUGUACGUUUCAAUACUUUAUGUGUUAAGUUGUUUAUAUUGCCUAAAGUAUGAUUCCUAAGUUUAAAUUUAAGAGACCAGACGAUUAAGCAGAGCUUAAGGACCUCAAGGCUGAGUGUCUUCGGUGUCUAACUGCGUCAAGGAUACUCAAGUCACACAACGUCACGCAUGGUGAGUAAGGUCUUGUGCGAGGCAUAGUGUGAUAGUGUAGUUUAGCAAGUACCUUGGGAUGAAAAACAGAAGAAUUUUUUUUUAAAACUCAAGGCAAAGUCCUCUGAGAUUGGCAACUUUGACCCAAUUUUUAAAACCUUUUCCUUUUAUUUUUCAUCUCGGGGCAACUUUGCCUCAAGUUUGUCCCUCGACACAUCAACAAGACCAAUGAUGAACAAUGAUCGGGGUUUUAGAGGCAAUGUCUAAAAACCCAACCUUCAACGAAAUCUUUCAUGGAAAAUGAGAAGAGAAACAAAGGUUAGAGAUUGAAAACAAAUCAUUCAAUGAAAGCAACAAUGGGGGUUUGGGAUUUGGAGAGGAAAACGAAAAAGAAAAUGACAUAGAUCUGAGAUUCAGAGAUGAAAACGAAAAAGAAAAUGAUGGAGAUAUGAGAUUUGGAGAAGGUUGAGAAUGUAGAUAAAUAUGAAAAGAGAAAGAAUACUGGAAGGAUUACGUGAAGAAGGAGAAGGAUUAUGCGAAAAAUGAGGAAGGAUUACACAAGAUUGAGAGGGGGAGUGAGAAAGGAUUAAGGAUGGAGUUCGGGGGAGUGAGAAGGAUUAUGGAAACCCUAGCCCCAAAUUUAGCUCACUUCACACCUUGCAAAUCUGGUGCCUAAACACAUUACCCUAAAUGUGUGUUCUAUGAACUUAAUUAUCAUAACUUAUUUUGCAUUUUUUAAAAGUGUCUAUUUCCAUAAUUUGUUUUAAUAUAGAAAUCAUUUGUAAGUAAAGUUGACAUAGAAUUUAAAAGAAAUAAACUAAUGAAAUGUUAGGUUGAAUUUAUAGUUUAAAGUAAGUCUAUUUUAAUAUGGAAUUAGAAAAAGUUAAAAAGUUUGAUAAUGCCUUUUAUGGAUGAAAAUGAUAAUGCCUAAGUUUAAUUUUAUUUUAAAUAAUAGUAAAUUUGAGAUGAAAAAAAAAUAUAAAUAUUAGAGUUAUGGACAAUACGUUGGGAUGAUUUUUAUAUAUUUAAAUGAGGUUUUUUAAAAAAUAGAACAAAUCAAACAAUUUUAAAAAAGGAAAAAGCCCACAACGGGAAAUAACAAAAAUAUCCAACAAUUAAUCGAACACACACGCGGGAAAAAAUGAUUUUGUACCUAGUCUAAGCGAUCUCUUACCAAGUUUAAACGAUCUUGUAUCAUUGUACCAAGUCUAAACGAUCUUGUAUCUUUCUACCUAAGUCUUAAACGAUUUUGUACCAUUGCACUACAACAAAAUGUCUACAACGACAAUUAUUUUAUGUCACGAAUAAAAUCUGUGACAGCUAUUUACAAUCAUAGUAUCGAGAGUCAUGGAAAGUCCUUCCAUGAUAGUUUUCGAAAACUGUAGCAAUAAGUUUUUUCAUGACAGAAAAUAAAUGUCGUUAAUUACUAUUUUAGCUAGAUGUCAUGAAAGAAGAGUUAAAAUCUAUGAAUGAUAAUAAAGUCUAGGAUCUUGUAGAAUUGCCUAAAGGAAGUAAAAGAGUUGGGUGUAAAUGAGUCUUUAAGACCAAACGUGACUCAAACGACAAUAUCGAAUGACAGAAGACACAAGGUAGACUUGUUGCCAAAGGUUCUAAUCAGAAAGAUGACAUUGACUACAAAGAGGCCUUUUCUUUUGUCUCGAAAAAGAACUCAUGAAUCAACUAGAAGGUUUUGUGGUUAUAGAAAAGAAACAUGAUAUGGUGUGUAAAUUAAAGAGGACAAUAUAUAGACUUAAACAAACUUCCAAACAAUGAUAUCUUAAGUUUAAUGAUAUCAUCACAUGUUUUGGUUUUAAAGAAUGAAACAUCGUCCAUCGAUGUAUAUACCUAAAGAUCAAUGAGAGUAAGUUUAUUUUUCUUGUUCUAUAUGUUGAUGACAUCUUACUUGCUAGGAAUGACUUUGGUUUGUUAUGUCAAACCAAAGAAUUUCUUUCUAAAAACUUUGAAAUGAAAGAUAUCGGUGAGACAUCCUACGUGAUUGAAAUUAAAAUAUUCCAUGACCGAACACAUGAAUUGUUAGGAUUGUCUGGCAUAUAAUAAUAAAGUUUUAGAGAAAUUGGAGAUGGAAAAAUGCUCUUCAAGUCUAGUUCCAAUUCAGAAGGGAGAUAAUUUUAGUCUCAUGCAAUGUCCAAAAAAUGAAUCAGAAGGAAAUCAAAUGGAAACCAUUCCUUAUGCAUCUAUUGUUGGAAGCUUAUUGUAUGUUCAAACUUGCACUAGAUCAGACAUCAGUUUUGUUGUAGAUAUGAUAUGCACGUAUCAAAGUAAUCCAGGAAUAGAUUAUUGGAAAGUUGCAAAGAAAGUUUUAAGGUAGGCAAUAAACAAAGAAUUAUAUGCUUACUUAUAAAAUAACUGAUCAUCUUGAGGUGAUUGGAUAUUCAAAUUCAAAUUUUAUCAGAUGUGUGGAUACACGAAAAAUCACUUUUUGCUAUUUGUCCUAUUAGCUAAAGGAGCAAUUUCAUGGAAAGGUGCAAAGCAUUCUAUUAUCGUUACAUCCAAUAUGAAGGUUGAAUUAAUUGUAGCAUGGUUUGAGGCUACAACUCAUGGUUUAUAGCUGCGGAACUUUAUAUCAGGACUUGAAAUUUUCCACAAUACUGCCAAGCAGUUGGAAAUUUAUUGUGAUAAUUCUGCAACAAUUUUCUUCUAAAAAAUAGUAAUUAUUCUAAAGGUUCUAAAACAUAUGGAAUUAAAAUAUUUUGCCGCUAAAGAACUUAAUAAACAAAUGGUGUCAAUCGAACACAUUAGCACUAGACUUAUGAUUGCAUAUCCACUAACUAAAGAAUUGGCACCAAAGAUGUUAAAUGAUCAUAUUGAACUUAUGAGCAUUAGUAGAUAUCAUUAUUGAAAUCAAGAUUAUAUGUUAUCUGACAUUUUAAGCUCAUUUAUUUAUUGUUUCUGAUUUUAUCCCAUGGUUCUGUUAUUAUGAUUAGUAUAUACAUAUAAAUGAAUUAUGUAAAUCAAACAGAAAAUCGUCUUUGAUAAGACACUUAUUGUUGGACCGUUAUUGAUGAUCUUUAUUAUAGAUCAUGUUAAUAGAAGAACUAUUUCAGUGAUACAUGAAAGGGAGUAUGUUAAUGCAAGGAUGUAUAACCGCCAUAAUUAUUUAGUGGUUUCUUUGACUUGACAUGAUAGGUUAUGAAGUUUAAUUUUGCGCAUUAUGUCUAUGAAAGUAUUGGGUAAAUAAUUGCAAUGGGCCAAGUGGGAGAAUGUUAGAUUUUUAAAAAUAUAAUAAUAAUAUUAUUGUGGCACAUAUGCAUUACAUGUUAUUUUUAUCUUUUUUUGGCCUAUUAUUUUAUUAAGCUCAUUAGAUAAAAAGAUAAUGUUUCAAUUAAACACCAUGAUGGAUGAUGUCUAUAAAUAGAAUCUUAUGGAUUGAUUUUUUCACUGCUUCAUUCAAGUAGUUCAUUCUUUCCAAUCAAGAAACCUAGCUAAUUAAGUUAUAAAGGAAGGUCAAAUGAAAGAAACAUAAUUCAUCACACAUCAUUUC